AAUGUUUCCAGCUUGUCUAAAGAGAUACUCUGAAUCUUGAUGCCAUGUCCUGUACAUUCCAGUGUCUCCAGUGCUGCUGAUAUCUUGCCCCCCAACAUUCAGUCGAUAAACUGUCUCAAGCGCAGUUGUGUUAUACAGAAAGGUGUGGACAUCGGGGCCCACAUAGGUCAGUGGAUUAUCAUCGCCACGAGCAUAGAAGCUGUCUGGCAUGGAAACGAUUUCGAUACCAUUAAUGAAGGCAAAAGAUGCUGGAGACGGAAUGAAGGUUAAUUCAAGCUUCUGGUUGUCCCACACGGUGAUGAUGAACUCUUUGGUGAAGUAGUCAACUGGAGGUCUUAUAGCAGAAAUUAACUGUAAGAGAGGCACUAAAGUUGUUUAGUAGCUUGUAGUUGUUGGCACUAAGCGAAAAAUAGGAUUUGGAUAUGUCAAGAUUUGAGUAAGAAGCUGGAUAAAAGUAGAGACGCACAAAUUUUGGGCCAGGCAAGACUGGAAAUGUGUAAGUGAAUUUAGAGUGAAAAAUACGGGCUGUCAUGUAUGGGACUUGGUCGACAGAGGGGUCUUGAGUGGAGGCUUCAAACACAGAUGAGGCUUCUGGGGGGUUAGAGGCAGCAAACUUAGACUGGGAAUCACCAUCCCAGCUGCGACCAUCUGGAGAUGACAAAUUAGAGGAUGCACCACAGUUAAGGAGUAUUAGAUCAGUGGGGCUGUAUGGCAGCAAGUAAUCUUCAGUAGCAGUACCAUAGAGGAAGAGAUGGAGGGGAGGGAGAAGGUAGAGAAAGAUGAAGAUGGACAUUACUAUGCUAGUUCUUUGGUGGAGUAAAUUGGAGUAAGAAAAAAUAUCUAUUAAAUGCAAAGAUUUUGAUUUAAGGGAAGAUAAUCAAUGGUGUCGCUGUCUCCAUACAGUAACAUUUUUGCUCAGGUUGAGAAUAAUCCAAUAAUAUAUUUGAGACCCGUCGGAGAAGAAAAUUCGACGAUAUGGCUAAUGGGACAUAUUGGUCAGCUUUGGAUGGCUGCUUCCCGUUGUGUGGUUCUGAAUUCCGCAAUAAAGCCGCAAUGAACAAUCUAAUUUCAACAAAGGAUCGACCUAUUCCUUUUUGGUUCAUGAGUGUGCCUUUUUGGGCUGAGCUUAUAACCAAAAAUCUUCUCAUCUGGUAUAGUAAUCGCUUACUGCAAAACUUGGUGGUAAUGAGAAAUCUUUCUUCCCCUUAAUCGAAGAAUAAUGGAUUUACCUCUUGAUAUAUCUGGGACAUAUUUGGUAUCUAUUAGAAAAUAAUAUAAAUUAUAUAUUGAAAUUUUAUUUAAAAAUUUAAGUAAUUGGGUUGAGAUGGUUCUUUGAUAUGAUAUCAGAGUCUUAAUGACAAAACAUGCAUGAGAUUAAAUCUCAUCAUUCUCAUCUAUUUGAUAAAAAUUAAGCACAAGGUAAUGUGAGCCUAUGCAAGUUUAAAGCUCAAAAGACUUUCACUUGAAAGAGUGUGUUAGAGAAUAAUAUAAAUUAUAUCUUGAAACCUCACCUAAAAAUUUAAGCUAUUGGAUUGAGAUAGUUAUUUAACAGUACAUAAUAAAAUCAAUAGCAACAGUGAAGAAGAGGCAAGCUGUCCUCUCUUCCCUGGAGAUGGUAAUUUGCUCUCUCUCAUCCUGUUAAGCUUGAUUUCCAUACAUGAGGGGAAACUGAAUGGAGUUCUCGGUGGAUGAAAAAUAAUUGGAAUAAUAAAUGAAAUGAAAUUGAGUUUCAUUGUUGAAAAAAUCAUGCUGAAAUCACUUCAAUCCUAAGGAAAAUACAAGUCUUCUACAAUGAUCAGGUCUAGCAAAUGUUCUUAUCUUGUACAAACACGACACCUAAUGCAAACCUGUGAACAUUCCAAGAUCUUUUUUUAAACUUCAUUGCUUGCAAUAGAUCAAGGAAGCUUCGCCAUUAAUUAGUGCACGAGAAAGACAAUCACUAGAUAUCGUAUCAACAUAGCAAUUGCUUGCUAUUUUCUUCAAUUAUAAAUCAUUAUAAAGUAUAUACAAAUUUUAUUGUUAUUGUUGGGAUAUUGCCAUUAUUGGGCAACAUGUGCAGCCUACCCUAUAAAGAGUAGGGUUACCAUUUGUCAAUGGUAGUUGCACCCACCAUUGAUAAAUGUAUCAACCCAUGUGCAACUGUUGUUGUUGAAGAAGAACAACCACCAUCCUUGCCUAUAAAUAGACAACAAGAGAGCAGAACAAUUGAGAGAGGGAUUGUGAGAAUGUAGAGAGUGUGAAGAGAGAAAGAAAGAGAAGGGCUGCCACCAGCAGCCCUGCUGCCUUAUGCAGCAAUGAGAGAUGAGAGUUGAGUGGAUGUGAUCCUCCUCCAUGUGUUGUAUUCUUUCUCUAUCUCUAAAUAAAAUGAACCUCUCCCAUGGAUGUAGGCGGUUUUGCCGAACCACGUUAAAUAUUGUGUCAGUGUGCUUGCCCUCCGUUGAGCAAAGAUCAGUACAUCACUGGUCGGAUUUCCCAACAAUUGGUAUCAGAGCUGAUGGUUUAAAGUGGUGUUUGAUUUUUGCUCAAAAAAUGAAAGUUGUCAAAAUUGUGUUUUGACCAUACCACCGUGUAGAGGAGGAAGAGACGAAGCCACUGUUGAAAACUGCGUUGAAAUCGGACGUCGGACAUGGCCGCACGUGCCGUCACGCGCCAGCGUCACACGUGUCUUCUUCGCCCGGAUGGGCUGACCCGACCCGAAUACCAGACGACCCGACCCACGUGGCUGACUCGGAUAAGGAUGACAUCAGUAUGCCGUAAUUAUGACGUCAUCAUGCACAGUAGCAUGGCCCAGGAUGACAUCAACAUGAUGUAAUGGUGGCGUCAUCAUGCACAGUUAGCACAUUGGACCCACUAACACGUCAUCAGCCGUGAGCCGAGCUGAUCCGAGCGGCGAGCCGAGGGAUAGGAUUCUGUGCAGCUGAGUCUAUGUGCAAUCGGAUCUGAGAUUGAAUCUGAGCCGUUGAUCAAGCCAGAAUUGUUUUGAUCAAAGCUUAGCCGUCUGAAGUGCGAUUUGGACGAUUCAAGACAUGUUUCCAGCUAAUUUGAUCAUUCCAGAUGCAAUGGUACGGUCCGAUCAUUGAGAUUUGAGACCGAAAAUGGCGGUGGUGAAUUAUUAAAGAGAGAUUGCCCGAUCAGGAGGCAUCUGAGGGUCUUGAUGGAGGUCGAUGAAGAUGAUGAAGAAGAAGGUGCACAUGUUUUCCCAAUUAUAUGUGUUGAACUAUUAAAUGGGAAAAUGUAAUGCCUUGAUGGAAGGCAAAAUUAGGACACUCUGGACACCCAGUUAUGUGGACAAUUAGAGGUGGAGAGUGAAAAUUGACGAAGACCAAUCUUGACGAAUCUAAGCACUGGUAGUCUCGCUAGAUGUUGAGAAAUCAGGUAUAAAACCAAGAUACCCAGAUCACUUGUAAAGGAAAGCCGCAACAAAGCUAGCAAAUGGUUGUAUAUACGGAAAGACAGUACGAUGGAUAGAUAUGGCCUAAGAAGUUAUGUCUAGGAGAUUAGGUUUUAAGUGGGACCGUUGUGACCCCUCCAAUCUUUCCUGGGAACUUGCUUAGUGGAAGGAUUAUCCAUAUGGUACUAUUUUCGUAUAUGUAACAGUUUGUAAUGAAAUUUUUGAAGACUAGCAGGAUGACGCCACAAGGGGAACAAUUGGGUUCCGUAUGAUCAAGGAUCUGAUGGAGUAGUGAUUUCUUCAAAGAAGCUAGAUUCGGUGACUGUGAUUUCUCGAGGGGAGAAUUGAUGAAGACCCUGAUAAUGGAAGAGAAAUACAGCAAGGGGAUAAAGAUUGGCACCCUAUUUUGACUUGGACAAGUGUUGUGACAGGAUCAGCUGCUAUCAAACAUAAGCAAGGAAUAUGGAGAAAUCUGGAGAACAGAAAUUGCACGAGAGCACACGAAGAUUAUGCAGGAGUACCCGUAGGAUCCAACGAGGUACUGUAAUGAGAAGUUUAUUAUGUUGUUGUUGAAGAAGAACAACCACCAUCUUUGCCUAUAAAUAGACAACAAGAGAGUAGAACAAUUGAGAGAGGGAUUGUGAGAAUGUAGAGAGUGUGAAGAGAGAAAGAAAGAGAAGGGUUGCCACCAGCAGCCCUGCUGCCUUAUGCAGCUGCUGCCCAAUGCAGCUGCUGCCCUAUGCAGCAAUGAGAGAUGGGAGUUGAGUGGAUGUGAUCCUCCUCCAUGUGUUGUAUUCUUUCUCUAUCUCUAAAUAAAAUGAACCUCUCCCAUGGAUGUAGGUGAUUUUACCGAACCAUGUUAAAUAUUGUGUUAGUGUGCUUGCCUUCCGUUGAGCAAAGAUCAGUACAUCAUCGGUCGAAUUUCCCAACAGUUAUACUCAUCAAAAACAUGAGUAAAAAGAAAGAAGAAGGGUUCAGACAGUCACCCUACACGUAGAGCAAACUGAUCCACCCAUCUUGGUGGAGCUCACAUAGACGGAUUGGGUCACCUUGCGCUUUAUAGGUCGCUGUUGAAAUCGAAACCCACGCAGACAGAUAAAGAACCGACCCCUUUGUCCCCUCUUCCUCGAUCAACUACCAUGUUUGCAUCGAUUGUAGCAAGUGCAAGGCCGAGAGUUACCAUUGAUCGGUUUUGCACAGUUGCCAUAUAUUUGUGCAUUGCAAAUUGGUUGUCGUUCUAAACUCUUAGGCCAUGUUUGUUUCCUAAAAAGUAGUUUUUGGGAAAUAAUUUUCCAGACUUUCUUAUGUUUGUUUACUAUUAGAAAAGUUGGUCAAAUGAAAACACUUUCCGGUCAACGGAAAACACUUUUUAGUCAAAGAAAAUUUUAGCUUGGUUUUCAGGAAAGUGUUUUCCAUUUUAGCGGUGUUUAUUUUCUGAAAAGUGGUUUCCAGGAAAUCACUUUCCAAACUUUCUUGUGUUUGUUUGCCAUUAGAAACGUUGGUCAACAGAAAAUACUUUCCAGUGAAAGGAAAAUUUGACUUGGUUUUCAGGAAAGUGUCUUCGUGGAAAAUUUGGGCGGAAAACACGUUCCGAAAGUUGUGAAAAAUUUAGAAAUGUCAUUAUUUGCUGAUUAUAUCAAAUUUGAUCCUUAAACUUUUGAUUGCUAUAUAUAUUUUGUUUUGAAUAUUUAUUUUUCAAUUUCAUCUCUUAAAAUUUUUAUUUUAUAUUAACUUUGGUCCUUAUUUUUAUAAUUGCUAUUUUCUUUUUCCUUAUCAUUUUUUUAUUGAAAUUUUUUAUCUAUCAAAUUUGGUCCUCAUUCUUUUGAUUGUUACUUAAUUUUUUAGAUUUGAUCGAUAUUAUUUUGAUUAUUAUUUAUUUUAUUUGAGAUAAUUUAUGAAAUUAUAUUUAUUUUUUCAAUUUCAUUCAACUUUUUAAUUUAUAAGAUUUGUUCCUCGUUAUUUUAAUAAACUUGAGAAAAAUAAAAUAUUAAUAAGUUAUUUUCCAACUCAUUUUCCAUGACAUAACCAAACACUGGAAAAUGUUUUCCAACUUAUUUUCCAUUACACUACCAAAUAUCGGAAAAUACUUUCUCGGAAUUCACUUUCCGAAAAGAAACUACUUUCCAACAAACAAACGGGCCUUAUAGUUAAUAUAGUUACCUUGAGAGGCCAGUAGUCUCUGAUGCACUUCAGAUUCCAUAGAGAACUCCUCUUCAUUACCUUCACCGAUUGUGGCAUUGAAAAUUGGACUCGAGUUUGCUUUCAAGAAAGGCAGCUGCAGAAGCAGAUGUGAUCACCAAAACAAGCAGGAUAGUUAAAGAGAGCCACCAGAGGAAUUCAAUACUUACGUUAGGCCUCGUCUCUUUCUGUCUGUACCCUUCUGUUACAGAGUUUGAAGAGCACUAAAUAAACGUCACUGCGAAGAAUGCUUCGAACUCUGGAUAUGGAGUGAAAGGCUAGCUUUUUUCCAUUGACUUGCUUUUUUUGUGAAGACUUAGGUCUUCACAUGAAUGUGAUUUUGAUGUUUUAUACUAUCUUAAUCUAAUAAUUUAAAUUAUUAGAUAAAAUUAUAAAAUAUGAUAUAUAUUGUUCAAGAAUAUUUGACAAAACAUCCAGCCACUUAUAUAUAUAUAUAUAUAUAUAUAUAUAAGAUCAGGACCAUAAUCUGGAUUUUCGUUAGUGAAUUCAUCCUCAUCGGAACUUGAUAUUUCAUAUAAGGCUUCUUGGAGUUUUUUCUUGUAUUCUGACGUUGAGCUUGAUGAUGCAAGGUUUUCUUGAAUUCAACUUUUAGAGGUGAGAAACGUAAAUUGCCUUCUUGAGAUAGAGUUGAUGGGUAUGCUUGCAGCUAUGGAAUUUGAUGUGAUGAGAUUAUUGCCAAGCAUGCACAAUUUCAGAACAAGCUUGAGCUUCUCUGAAUUUGGGUCCACCAUUUGACUUUGAUUUUUCUCAUGAGAUCUAAAGAGUAACCAAUAUCUUUAUUUACAUCAUUCAUUAUAAUGGAGUCCCAAGAUAGCAUGAGACACCAAAGGUUGAGAUGAAAUAAAAAGAGGUAGGAAUUGAAUUCAAAGGUAUUUUUACUGUAAGCAAUUCCAAUCCUUUGUAUGAUUUUUUAGGGAGAAUCUCACUUAUUGAAGAAAAAUAUUGCCAUCAAUUGUUUGACAACUAAGUUGGAAAAUUCUUUGGAAAUGUUUUGAGAAAAUCUUUCAAGGUGCAGGGUUUUGAUUCAUCUCUUGAAAGGUUAAAACCUUUUGAAUUUUUAUUUUUGAAAAAACAAGAUUGUUUACAUCUUGAUUAUGAGUUAUUUCAACAAAGUCAAUAUCAACCAAAAUAAACUCAUAGAAUUGUUUUGUUUUCAACAUAUUUUCUAAAAUAACUUGAAAAUAAUAGCUUCUUGACUUGAAAGGCUUAAAGCUUUUUUUAGGAAAAAUUUGGAGGGUAAUUAACACAAGUGAAAGUACAAGCAAUGGGACAAUAGCGAGAAAAAGAAAAUUAAUAGUUGAAAUAGAGUAGAGCACAUGAAUUCUAAUUUAUAGUUUUAUUGAUGAAGAGAAAAAUUCACUAUUUCUUUUGCCUCUUUAUGAUGUUUUCAACUUUUUAAAUAAGCUAAAAAAAUCAAACUAAUCAAACUAGAAAACCCUAAAAUAAAGAAAAAAAAUAUUAAAAUUCCUAAACAAACUUAGAGAAAUAAAAUUACUAUUCUCAAUAUUUAAUUUCCUAAACUAAAUAGAAAAAAUAAAAUCACCGAAAAUAUUUUCCUAAACUACAUAGAAAAUAAUAAUAACUAAGAAAUUUUAAUUUCAUAAAAACCCUUGGCAUCAACAAUAAUGUUGUAAAAGGUGUAUUAAUUUUGGGAUUGAACAAACAAGGGAGUUUGGAGAGAUUAAGAAUAAUUUAUAGGUGAGGUGUUUGGACUAGAUCAUGCUGAUGAAAGGAUUCAAAAUUGAUUAUUUAAGACACUAGCCCCAAGGAGGUCAAACCCUCCCUGAAAUAAAUUAAUAUCUUGAAUGCUUGAUGUUGUGGUUUGAAUUGGUCUUGAUGGUGUAAGAGCAUAUGAUUAUUUUGACUUAUUUUGAGCCUAGUAAAGACUCUUUGGAUAAAAGACUCUUUUACUUCUUUCAUUAAUUCAAUCUCCAAAUCAUAUUUUAAUAAAUUAUCUUGUUACCUGGCAAAACUUUGUUUUGACACAAUAUUUUGAAUAUUUUUUUCAACAACUUAUUUUACAUAUUGACAAUUUAUUUGUAAAAGAAAUUUCUGGAAAAUAAAUCAUCUUGAAAAUAUUAGAUGUAUAAAAUAAUUAAUAAAAUUUUCUUUUUGAUAGUUGAAUAAUUUUCUUGAGGAUCCAACCAAAUACCUAAAUGAUAUUGCACUAUAUGUUAUUGACUUUGAAAAUUUUGUUUGAGAAUACCACUGUAACUAAUAUCAAAGGCAUCGGUUUCAACUAUAAAAAAGGCCUCUAGAUCAUAAAGUCUUAAACAUGAAAACUCUUGACUUGACUUUUAAGAGUAUUCACAAUUUUGAUCAUUUGAUGAUUGAUUUUAGACAGGAGGGUUUUUCUUAAGUCUUUUGUACAAAGGUUGACAUAUAGUUCUAUGAUUUGGAAAAAUAUCUAAAACAUAAUCGAGGCAUCCCAUAAACUUUUAAAGCUAGGUUUUACCCUUGAUCUUAUUUAUGAAUUUAAUGGUAAAUUUUAUUAUAGUGACAAGGGUUAUUGAUAAAUUAUAAUUUUUAAGGUUGAGAAAACUAAUCUAUUUUGUUUGAUAAUAUUAAGAAACGUUUGUAAGUUGUUGAAAUGUUUGGUUAUUAGUUUUAAAAAUAAAAGAACAUCAUCUAUGUAUAUAAUCAUAAUUUUGAAUAUAGAUUAAAGAUGUCAUUCAUGAUGCUCUGAAGUUUUGAAGGAGUAAUUUUUAGUUCGAAAGACAUUAUAUCUCAUUUGUAAUGACCAAAUGAAAUAAUGAAUGUUGUUUUAUAAUGAUUUUUUUAAUCAAUUUAGACUUGUUAGAAUCUUGAUUUCAUAUCAAUUUUUGAAUAUAUUGAAGAAUUUUAAAGUCUUCUGAUAAGAUCUCUCUUAUUGUGUAUUGGAUAUCUAAUAUAUUGGAGCACUUUGUUGAGAGGCUUGUGAUUUAUGACAUGUAUUAGUGCAUGAUUAGUACUUAAAAGUGUAUUUUAUCAAUGUUUUAUAUUAUCAUUUUGUACUUGAAGUAUCAAUAACUCCUUAACUAGAGCAUGUUUUAUAAUAACAAGUCUGAUAAUAUAAGAUAACUUUAAUUUAUGGUAAAUGCUCAUUUUAAAUACAGACAUAUCUCACAAUUCAAAGGAUUGAUUGCUGUGAUUAACUAUUGAAAGUGAAAAGACAAAGAAAAGGCUAAGCUUAGAAAGGAGAUGCAGAUUCAAUUCAAAUUGGAACACUGUUAAGUUAUUGGGUCAUAUCUGGAGCUACAGUUCUUGGAUUUCAGUUUGGUUUAUAUGGCUAGAAAAAUAAGAAAUAGGCUUACAAUGUUCAUGAAUAGUGAAAGACCCAAAUCUUCCGUUUUCAAAUUCAAAGUUUGGCCACAAAAGAGAAGUCAGAAUCUGUCAUACAAUCCAGCCCAAACACUUCUCAUACUUUUACCCAUAGCUGGAGUUUUAAAAGGAAAAAUGAUGUCAAAUUUGGUGGCUAGAAGGAUAAGACAAUUUCCAAAAACUUUCAUGAAGACGACCUGCUCCAAUUCUGAUGUUAGAAAUGACAUUUCAUCCAGACAAGAGCUUGAGGGCUGUCCAUUACGUCCACCAGAAGCACUACUCAAUAUUUUAGCCAUAUCUCAAUCUCUAGUGAUCCAAAUGCUCUAAAAUUUUAUGGAUGGAAAGAUGAGAUGAUUGCAGACAACUUUUAUGAAGAACACUUUGCCAAAUGUUGAUUGAAUCAAUGUCAUUUCAUCCAGCCAAAAUGCUUAAGUGUUAUUGUCCACCAAGUCCACUAAAUCAAUAGUUGGCCACUACAUCAAUAAUCAAUUACCAAAUGAAUAGUUCCGAAUUUUAGCCUAUAAAAGGAGACAAUUGCAAUUCAUUUAGGCAUCUUGGUUCUUAGAUCAAGAUCAUGUUCUUGCUCUCUCUUUAAAUUUUUGUAAUGCUUAAGUUUUGCUUUCAUUAAUCUCUUGUUUAUGCUUUUCAUUUUCUUUACUAUACUUAGUUAACUUAUAUCAUGUUUAUGUUCAUAUAUUGUUUAUUUAUGUUUUUAUUUUUCAUAAUGUCGAGCUAAGUUAAUUAUGUCAAGGUGAAAAGGUUUCACUAAUGGUGUUAGAAUAUGUAUAAUAUAAACUCAAUAUGGACUUCAAUGUUUAUAUCCAAGAAAGUUUGUUAUUAAUAUGUCAUAUCUUUUUAUCUUAUUAAUUCUUAAUACCUUGCUUGUUAAAUGGUUAAUCUAGAUUUGUGUUGUAUAACACUUGGUAAAUCAAAUGCUUGAUCCUUCAUAGUCUUCGGUCAACAUCAUUGUUAUGAGAAGAACUUGAUUUGUUGUUAACAUAAGUUAACAUCAUGAAUUCCUGAUAAUAUUUAAAAGUAUGGUGUUACUAAAAUAAGAUAAUUAAUAUGAUCAUGUUAAAAAUUUAUAAUUAACUUUUACGGAUAAAUCAUCCGAUUGGAACCUCCUUUGUGUGUGGUUUCCAAUUGAGUAAUAAAAAGAGUUUAUACUAUACUUAUUUCUAAUACCAUUAGUGGACCCUCUAACCUUGACAUUUAUUUGUAUUAUUGUUUAAUCCUCACAUUAAUCUUAUAUCUCAAAGAUCUCUUUAUAUAUAUAUAUAGUUAACUUUCCUGUGGAUCGACCCCGGUCUUGCUGAGUUAUUUAUUACUUUGACACUCCUUCACUUGAGAGAAGACAUCAAUCUUUUUGUCAUGUCAAUGCACUUCUUUCUAUUUCAGCUUGAUUCCAGACAUAAAAAGGUGGCACAUAACCAUGAUGAUUUACUAGGGCUUAUAAGACACUUUUUGAUUAAUUUGAGGUAAUUUCCAAUUAUCAUUGUACGUGACUUUAUCUCAUUAUCAAAGUUUAGGAACUUGAAUGUUUGAAUUUUGAGAGUUAGCUUUAAUAAGGAGAGUUUAAUUUAUAGAUGAAUUUUUGAGAGGUUUUGGAGCUAUGUUUGUAUCCAUGAUUUUGUAAUAUAUUCUAUAGAUGAUGACUAUAUUCAUGGAAUCUUGAAGCAUAUCAGUACGAGUCUUAACAAGUCUCAAUAUUUAGAGCUAAGGUUUUCACUAUAAUAUCUAGGUUGAAUAAUGAGAUAGUGAAAUUUCGAUAACAAUUCAAGUAUGUAGAACCAUUAACAAGAUUUGAUUGAAAGAUUGUAAGGAGUGAGUUUGAAAAGGUCAUAAAUUUGUGGUCUCUUGAAAACAUAAGUAUGGGAGAGUCUAAUCCGAGAUGAUGAAUUGGUUUGAGUACAAUCUGUAUUAGACGGUGAUCAUUUUCGGUUUGGUUUUUUUAAAAAAACCAAAACCGGUUCAAACCGACCGGUUUCAGUUUGACUCGGUUUUUUCUGGUUUGGAUAUGUUUUUUUCGAUUUAGGUUUGGUUUGGUUUUUCAGUUUCAAACUUAUAAAACAAAAACCAAACCGAACUGGUCGGUUUUUCUGGAAAGAUAUAAUUGUUUCAAAUUGUUUGAUGAAGGCUGGUCUAGAUCAUAAAUAAUUGUCAUUACACAGUGCCGGUCUAACUUGAAAGAUGUUAAUGCCCCAUUAAUUGCGACGCCUAAGCUCAUAAACGAUAUCCAUGAAUUAUGAUGACCAUUAAGGAAGCUCAUAGGAACUCCUUAAUUUCAAGUUGCUUCUUAAUUUGUCUUCUUGGACAUGCAUGUGAUCUAAAGGAACAAAGGGAAAUUAAAUGCUUAAGCAUGAAUGUGAUCGUUCUAUAUAUGUUCGUCUUCAAGCUUUGAAAUUUUUAUAGCUCAAUUAUUAUAAUUUUUUUUAAUUUUUUUAUGUGGGAAAAGAGUAUCAAAAUUGUGGGAAAUAUAUAUUAGAAUAUUUCAUGGACUGCACUGCUCUAUGAUUGUGCAUUUAUAACCCAAUUAUUAUUAUUUUUUCUUUUUCCUGUUGAUUGCAUUUUGGAAUCCAUUUGAUUAGACAUAAUUUGAACUGGAAGAAUGAAUUGGGUUCACCUUCAUUUGUUCUGUUUUAAUGUGACUGAGAGCCUUAUUUUUUUAAAUGUAUUGUCACUCAUUUAGAUACUGGCUAAGUAGAGUUUGCAGUCAGAUUAACAUACAGUAUGCAUUCAUUCCAUUAAACCCUAAUGGAGUGAAUGAAUAAAAUGACUUUUAUUAAAUGUUCCUCUACUACUUGGAUGCUGAACUGGAGUAUUGGAGGUUCCCACAUUGCCCCAUUGUUGGUAUAUUCACCACAAGAAUUCACAGUUUUAUCGAGGGCAAUAUUCCGUCGGUGUGUGAUUGAUAGUACUUCGGUAAAUUAUUUACCGACUAAAUUACCGACAGAAUACGUCUGUCAGCUUACCUUUCAUCGGUGAUUCCACAUUCCGUCGCUUUAUUGAUCGGAAAAACAAAAAAAAUCAUUUACCGACGGUUUUACAGACGGAAUUUGCGUGCCAAAAAAAAAAAGUUUCCCGCUUCAAAAAUACCGACGGAUUUUUAUUCCAUCGGUGAUAUCACAAGUCACCGACGGUUACUUUCCGUCGGUAAAUUAGUCGGUGAAUUGUUGAAAUACCGAUAGAAUAUAUUGUCUGUCAAUUCGUCGGUAACUUGUAAUACCGACGAAAUUAUUCCAUCGGUAAAUCUGUUGGUGAGUCAUGAAAACACCGACCGAAUUUAUCUGUCUGGAAAUUUGUCGGUGAUGGUUGCGGCUACUGUCUAAUACCGACGGAUUUAUUCCGUCGGUAAAUCCCUUUAUAAUUUUUUUUCUAUUUUUUUUAAUAAUUAUUUAGAAUACAUAAUAUAAAAAGGAUAUAAAUUAAUGGUAAUAAAAACCAAUUAUGCAAAUAAAAUUUAUAUUAAGCAUCAAAAACAAAAAAUGAAAGAUAAAUAAUAUUCAUUACAAAAUGAAAUGUUUCAAAAAAACAUUAAAUGAAAUUUUAAAUGUAAAUAAUGUUUAUUAAAAAUUAAUAUAGAGGAGGAGGAGGUGGAGGACGCUGGCUGUUAGGCGGCCAAAAAGGAUUGGGUGCACAUGUUCCACCUUGUGCCAUGUUCAUGACUAUUUGACGAAGCUCUUCAUAGGUCGCUCAUUAUUGUUCAGAAUCUGCUCUGCAUUGUUCUUUGAGUUGUGUGUACGCCUCUGACAGGUGGUCGCACUUUUGCUGCAAGGCCAUGAACUCCUUAGAUUGGGAGCUCGAUACUGAUUGGGAGCUCCUGACGGUUGAAGCAGUAUGGGUCGUCCGCAAGUUGUCGGUCGUAGUGUUGGAGAGCCCGUAAACCCGAUUUUUAUCGAGUCCACUUGAUGAUCCAGCCUCCAUCCACAAAUCCGGAUCGAAUUCCGGAUGGGUCGAAGGAUCGUCCCUGUAUGUCUCCCUCAACCGAUUAUUAUAGGUCUCCUGAAAAUAAAAUAAAAAGUAAUCAUCAUAUUCAAUUCAAUAAACAUAAUAAUAACUUACAAAAUAAAAUUGUUGAACAAACAUACCACAAAAUGUUGAGCACGGCUGUCAACGAACUGUUGCACCCCCUGUUGGCGGUCUUGACUCCGCACGUGCGUCUCCACAAAUAGCUCCAUAGGGCUCGGCUCACGUCCAAGAGACAUAGCCUAUAAUGAAAAAAAUUUAUUAACAACAAAUUAAUUAAACGAUAUAUUUCAUUUAAAUUAAUCUUACCAUCCGUUUUGCAUGUGCAGCAAACGGAACGGAGCCGCCGGUGUGCGUUGUCACCGAGCCAUGAAUUGGCAGAUUCCAGUUGCCAGCACCGGACUAUGAGCAUCGUGUGAACUGCUCAGACGUCACGUGCUGAAUAUAGUGCGGCCAUAUAUCUUCCGGGAAGUAUAUCGGUUUGAAAUCCCUCCAAACCGCAACAUCGUUCCAGCCUUGGAACCCCCUAUCCCUCGCAGGUUUUUUUGCCUUUUUUUAGGCUUCGUACCAAAAAUCACGCAACCUACUUCACGCAAGCAAAAAUUACAUUUCGAAACAUAAAUUUUUUUGUAAAAAAAAAAGUUGUAUUGUUUUCGUUGUUACCUAGUUGCUGCGUGAUUUUCCUACACCCUCCUCACAACAGUGUUAUAUUCCUCGUUCCAACAUAAUCGAUUAUGUGUAUAAAAAAAUAAUUUUUAAAAAUGUUAAUAAUUUAUUUACAAUUAUAUUAAGAAUUUAUUAGAAAUAAGCUGAAAAUUAUAUAUAACACGAACCUGAAAUCUGGAAAACCAUGGAUUGAUUUGAGGCAUCCAUUCAGGAUGCCUGGUUAUCUGACUCCAAUGAAACAAUGGAUUCUCCAUCGAUGAUUUAAACACCGCUGAUAUUACUCGGGCGACCUCAAUGUUUGUGAACCUGAAAAGAAAUGAAAUUAAUUAAAUAGUGACUUCAUAAAUUAUGUUUUUAAUUUUUUUUUUUAAAAAAACUAAAACCUUAACAAACUGACAUUGAAAGAUCGUCUUUUCAUUAUGCCUUGUACUUGCAGGAAAAUCGAUUUCGCUGUGAAGGCACGCCGCUUUUGGGCUGUGAAACAACGCUGGAAGAGGCAGCAUCGGUUGACAGCACAAGUGGUGUAGGUGCCUCUUCUUGAGAGUCACCUAAGGAAAUAUCUUCCUCGCUGCUAGACGAACCUGAUGCGUCCGGACGUGAAGCUCUGGUUUUCAUUCUGUGCAUCUAACCAGUUUUAUAUAAAUAAUUAUAUAAUUAAAUUGAAAUGUUAAAAAAAAAUUCGGCAACACCUCCCCUAUACUAGAUACUACCCAAAUCCACAAACUUGCAAAUAUUAACAAUAGCCACAACCAAUUGACCCAAUCUAUACUAAUUAUUCCAACAUAUUCAAUUACAAAUCCUAAGGUCAAUUCAACAUUAACAAUUACAAUUCAACAAAUUAUUCAAUAAUUAUGCCAAUACAACAAUAAAAUAUAUUCAAUAAAUUAAAAAAUAAUUAUAAACUAAAAAUUAAAAUCAAUGGAAACAAUUAAACACAAAUUAUGCAAUAAUAGAGUAAAAUUACUACGUAUUCCAACAUAUCCAAUUACUAAUUCUAAGGUAAAUUCAACAUUAACAAUUAUAAUUCAACAAAUUAUUCAAUAAUUAUGUCAAUACAACAAUAAAAUAUAUUCAAUAAAUUAAAAAAAUAUUUUAAACUAACAAUUAAAAACAAUGAAAAUAAUUAAACACAAAUCAUGCACUAAUAGAGUAAAAUUACUAAUUAUUACAACAUAUGCAAUUACUAAUUCUAAGGUAAAUUCAACAUUAACAACAAAUAUUCAACAAAUUAACUAAUAACAAUUAUGCCAAAACAACAAUAAAAAAUUUUCAAUAAAUUUUUUUAAAAAAACUAUAGACUUUAGGGAAGAAAUAUGCAUACCUUAAUAAUGUGUUGAAACAAAAAAUUUAUCUACAUUACAAAAAAAUACAACAAAACAAAAAACAUAAAAAGCAUAAAAAUAACUAUAAAUAAAAUAAAAUAAAAUAGAAAAAACACACAUACCUUUUAAUAUGAUGAAGAUUCACAACCAAGCUUGCUAGAGAUUCAACAAAGCUUGAAGAUUUGAGAGGAAAAAAAUCAAAAUUCUAAGAACUUAUAGAAACCUUAGGUCUAUUUUCACGGGCGACAAGCCCACCCAUACUCACUCUGGUCUAUUUUCACAGGCGACCUGCCCACACUCUCACAUUGGUCUAUUUUCACGGGUGACCUGCCCUUUUUAUUGGGUUUACCUAAGAUCCCAUCUUGAGAUCUAACAAGAACAAAAAUCGGUGUGUAGCUCGAUCAACCUGAAAUCCCAUCUAGUAAUUCCCUUUAGCUAGAGCCAAGGUCUGUGCGGUUAGACUGAACUGAGAUCCCUUCGCCGAUCCCCUUCAACCAGAACCAAAAUCCUUUCCAAUUAGGUUAAACUGAGAUCCCUUUGCCGAUCCCCUUUAACCAUAACCAAGGAAUGUGUGGUUAGACUGAACUGAGAUCCCUUCGUCGAUCCAUUUCAACCAGAACCAAAAUCCUUUCCAAUUAGGUUAAACUGAGAUCCCUUUAUCGAAAAUUAACCAACCAAGGAAUAGUUAGACUGAACUGAGAUCCCUUCGUCGAUCCCCUUCAACCAGAACCAAAAUUUUGGUUAAACUGAGAUCCCUUCGUCGAUCCCCUUAACCAUAACCAAGGAAUGUGUAGGGUUGGGCUAGACUGAGAUUCCUUUCGGCAAUCCCCUCUAACCAGAACCAAAAUCCUUUCCAAUUAGGUUAAACUGAGAUCCCUUUGCUGAUCCCCUUUAACCAUAACCAAGGAAUUAUGUAGGGUUGGGCUAGACUGAGAUUCCUUUCGGCAAUCCCCUCUAACCAGAACCAAAAUCCUUUCCAAUUAGGUUAAACUGAGAUCCCUUCGUCGAUCCCCUUUAACCAUAACCAACGAAUGUGUGUAGCUCGGUCAACCUGAAACCCCAUAUAGAGAUUCCCUUUAACCAAAGCUACAUGAGAUCCCAUCUAGCGACCUCAUUCAACUGGAACAAAAGAAUGUGUAAAAAGUGGUCUCAUUAUAAUGGGUGACCUACCCAAGUGGAAAGGAGGAAGAGUGGUCUCAUUCUUAUGGGUGACCUACCCAGGGGGAAAGAAUAUGAAGUGCGGUCUUAUUAUAAUGGGUGACCUACCCAAAAUGGAAAAAAUAUAAAGUGUGGUCUCAUUGUAAUGGGUGACCUACCCAGAUGGAAAGAAUAUGAAAAAGUGCGGUCUCAUUGUCAUGGGUGACCUACCCAGAUGGAAAGAAUGUGAAGUGCGGUCUCAUUGUAAUGGGUGACCUACCCAGAUGGAAAAAAUAUCAUGAAGUGCGGUCUCAUUGUCAUAGGUGACCUACCUAGAUGGGAAAAAUAUGAAAAAUGGUCUUAUUAUGACGGGCGACCUACCUAGAUGGAAAGAAUGUGAUAUGACAAGUGUGAAAAAUAGGACUUACCUGGCGAAGUCUUGAGGGGAUGACAGAAGAUGGGCUGGAAAACUUGGUGCUUCAUGAUAAUCCCCGAUCAUAGGGUUUGAAAACUUGGUGUUUCCUGACUGCAAGAGUUGAAAACUCGAGGCUUCACGAUUGCAAGGUUGAUCUCUUCAUUUCUUUGGGAUUUUCCUAAUGGCAAGGUUCAUCCCAUCAUCCUUUUAUUCCAUGAUCAAAAUCGAUUCUUUAUUAUCAUCACCAUAGUGCUUCUUUCUUUUUUCAACAUCUUGCUGGACCUCAUUAAGGAUUUUCCUGUAACAAUUCAAAAAUAUAUGCAAAUGGUUUUUUUUUUUUUUAAGGUUAGAUGAUAUGCAUGCAUCCUUACCUGAUUUGAAAUAUAGGUCCCCCCCUCUUUGAUGCUCCAUCGUCAUAGGGUGCCCUUGUUUGUAUCCCAAAACUUUCUUUGUUCUUCCGAUACAUUGGCUCAUUCAUGUGCUAGCCAUCCACUCAGCUGUAAAUGCAGUGCCCAUCCCGAGCUGUUUUUGACAAUUACUGCUUGCAUCGUUCAUCAAGCUUGACCCUUCCCCCAAGUGUGGUACUGCUUGAUUCAUCAUGAAGGAUUUUCUCUCCUGGCUUCUUCUAAGAAUUAUCCUCUGAUUGAUUGUGUGCAUCAUGCCAAUACCCAUCAAGAUUGUUAAUCAGUCAUGAACUUGCCUCUAGUUGAAACAAUACUGUUCAAGUACAUGUUAUCAUUAGCCUUCUUGGAACUCAUUCAGUCAUCCAGUCAUGCAUCUCAUAGCUUGCACUACAAAGGCUCAUGGUUGUAUGCUCAGUGUUCUUCUUAAUAGAUUCCCUUCAACUCAGCCUCAUCAAUGAUGCUGCUUUUAUCACUCAUACUCAUGCAGUGAAGCACUCAUCUGGCUUCAAAACAAGUUAUCCCACAGUCAGUCUUCGAGGUGGGUGCCUUUCUGACAUUCAUUCAAUGCAGUUGUGUGAUAACAUCUUCCGAUAAACAUGUUUCAAAGGAUGACAAUAUGACAUUGUCCUUUAAGUGAAGCAUUGUUCCACAGUCAGUCUUGGUGGUAUGCAUCUUUUCUCCAUUCAAUUACAUUCAUCUGUGUAUCUUCAUCGAUCGCUAGCCAUGUUUCAAAAAUGAUGAUAUGAAAGUGUCCUUCAAGUACAUCUUGUUUCUCCAUUGCCGACAGGGUUCACUAAGCAUGGGCCAUUUUGGAAUGACAUUGCCCCCAGUAUGAUCUGAAUGUGCUCGUUCAUUGAUUAUCUGUCUUUGAACAUCAUUGUCUUCAGUUCACUGAUUCAUCAUUUAAUCAUUGCCUCAUAGCUGAUCUGAGCACUGCUUGUUUUUCCUUUUCAAGGUCUACUGUAUUGCCCCCAGCUGCUCAACUUUUCAAGGAGUGUCGAGGACUUCAAUGUCAUUUCUAUCAACGAUUUUGCAUACUCAAUCAAUGUUCUUCUGUGUUUGAUAAUCUUCCUUGUUCUGGAAUCAACUCUCAUAUUUCAAAGAUCAUGUCUAUUCAAAGUCUAGUUUGUUGAAAUGAAAUCAGAGAUGUCCUUUUUGAAAAUCUUUUGAAAAUCAAGCUUUUUGAUCAAAGACCCAACACACGUUAUUCGAAAUACACAGUCCUUUGAUUGUCAUGCAUUUUAAAAACAUAAAUUGACCCAAUGUAGGAUUAAAAAUGGUUUUUUCCAUGGUUCUUUGUAUCAAUUUGAAUCCUUGAUAUUGGGUAUAUCAUUUGAUAGUCUAUGAUGAGGUGACCUUUUCGUGAAUUUCAAAAGCAAGGCACUCAAGUCAACACUUAGGCUUUAUCAAGAAAGGUUGUUUCUCUUCUUAUAACUUGUUUUAUCAGCAUGCAUAAUAACCAAUAGCUUAAUUCAUGAAGUCACGACCCUUAUGGAAAAGCUCUUCAAGUUUUGAGAGCGCCAUUUAUCGGUUCAAAUUGCUUGCUUGAUUAAAAAGGGCUUUUAAAAGCAUGUAAUGCAGGCUAUGGUUCAUGGCUAUGAAAGAAAAGGAAUCUCAAAGGCUCAAAAGGUGUUUGAGGGUUUCAAAGACCUAGGAUCAACAUCAAUUAUUCAUCAACUCUUUUUUAUUGUUGUCUUUAUAGAGGAAACGACAUAUAACCUUGUUAACCUCAAAGAUCAGACUUCACUUAACAUAAGUCAUAAUGCAAAUCCACCUUUCCUUGAUGAAUAACCAACCUUAAUCAUCUGAUAACAUCAGAGGCUUUAUAAUGGACACCAAAAGUCACGUUUAUAACUUAGUCUUUUUUCUGGUAUUGAGUUUUGUUGUGCCUUUCCUUGAUUGAAAUUUCUUUUGCUCUUCAUAGACUUGAUAGGCGUUCUCCUUCCUUUAUCUUUGACUUGUAUUUAAGUGAGGGCAAAUUUCAACUUCCUUUUUUUUCAUUCUCUUUUUUUUCAUAGCCUUCCUCAAAAUUUUCUUAUAUGCCCCCAGUCUAUGUGUUUUCUUUUAUUUCUCUCUCAAUCAUUGGACCUUUGUUCUAAACCUUCCCCUUUAUCCAUUAAUUAUAUCAAUGUCUCCAACAAAUCUCUCAUCUGCCCCCAGUGUGGGGUGUGAUCCUAGUCAUGGUUUUUUUUUAAAGAAAAUACUUUACCAGGCUCAAAAUGGGACUACAAGGGAUAUAAUCUUUAGAAAGUGAAGGGAUAUCAAAGAUGGCCUUUUCUCAUUUCAAGCAAGGUCGGUUAGAACCGAUAAAUUUUGACCCAUCCAGUGUAAUGAUUGGGACUUGUAAGAAUCAUGAUUCACGAGUCCAUAACUACCGAAUCCACUACAUGUCAUUAUGCAUACUGUUAAAACUUAGCUAUAUGAUGUGUGGUUCAGUUUCAGGAGGUAUGAGUUCAAAAUUGUUUAGUCACCUCAUGUCAUUUUCAAGCAUCGAGUCAUUUCUGUAAUCAAAACACUUUUAAUCUUCAGGAUUGAUUAACCUUUAUCGCAUGUUGGAGUUUGAUCAAAAUAUUUUGUCAGAAUAAAAUGCUAAACAUCUGUUGAUUUCAAAACAACAAAGAGACAAAAGCAAGGCAUGUUUCGUUGAAGGAUGAGAUGUGAUCCCAAAACAAAAUGCAGAAUUCCAUAACAAUAUGAUUGAUUGUUCAUCACCAUUCUUGAAUCAGCUUUUCUGGCAAUAUCUGUGUUUUGCCAAGCACUUUCGAUCACAUGUCAUUUUGAAGAUGUUCGGGGGACAAUAUAGCCAAUGACACCCUCCUUCACCGACUCCACUUGUCUCUUGCUCACCAACUUUCGGACUCAAUUCUUGCAAUUCUUGCAAUUGUUCACUUGAAAUGGUUGAGGACCCCACCAUGACAUCAUAUCUCUUGUCUGGAUUAUACCACCUAGAAAACGGUGGUUGCAUGGGAUUUGUCGGAGUCUAGCAAGUCUAGAAUCUGGCAGAUGCUGGCAAAUAAACUCAUAUGACAACUAUUCAAUUGAAAUUCUUGCAACUAUUCCAUUGAAAUGGCCGAGGACCCAACCAUGACAUCACAUCUCUUGUCUUGAUUAUACCACCUAGAAAAUGGUAGUUGCAUGGGAUUUGUCAGAGUCUAGCAAAAGUCUAGAAUCUGGCAGAUUCUGGUAAAUAAACCCACAUAGCAAAGAAUGUCUAUCUUUGGCAAAGACAUUGGAGUAGUCGAUGAUACAACAAGACUUGGUUGGACCAACAUAAUUAAGGUUUUCCAUCGUCAGAUUCUUCUUUUGAUUCAUCUCUCAUCGUUUCUCUAGAAUCCUUGGCAGAACCUUCAAUCUUUCCCAUCUUGAUAGCUUGUUCAAUUUUUGGCAAUCCACACAACUUCAUGUCAAUCUUCCAAUGUUGUUGUUGUUGUUUUAGGAUUGUUGGAAACCCGUCAAUAUCUAGGUAAUCCUGGCAGUGCGCAAAAACAAAAAUGUAUGGAAUCAUAUAUUGUCAAAAUUGGAAGAGAAACUGAUGAAUCCACAACUCCUCUAUUUCCUCUUUGAUUCCUCACUGACGGUGCAACAAACAUCCACUUUUGUGUUUUAAUGCCAAUACUAGUAGGAGAAAAUUGUGGACAAUCUGAAAACCACUGCAUCCCUUCUUGGAUUUCCCAUUUACAGAUCCAUAAAUAGAUUCCUGCCGAGAGAUCUCUGCAACGGUGAAGUUUGAUGUCUGCUCCAUGUUUUUCAAACCAAAUCUGGCUCUUCAACAUGCUACAGUUUCUUCAUGCUGAAACUAAUGAGAGAAAUAUUUGUAGCAUAUGCAAUUAGUAAAUCCUCUCUUGCACUCUCAACUUGCAACAUCAUAAACAGAUUUCUGUAGAGAAAGCUCUGCCACGUUGAAGUUCGACGACUACUCAUAUUUUCAGACCAAGCCUGACUCCUCUGCCUAGUACGAUGUUUUGCUCGUGCCACUGGUGGGAAAAAAGUUUCAAAGCAUAUGAAAUUAAUACAUCCUCUUUUGUAUUUCCCAUUGGCAGAUCCAUAAAUAAAUCUCUACAAAGAGAGCUCUACCACGUAGAAGUUCAGUGUAUGAUCAUGGUUUUCGGACCAACAUCUUGUGCUGCUGACUGAAAUUGAGCUCAUAAUUAGGGUAACUUCAAAGCAGACUAAUGCACCAUGUACAGGAGGCUAGUAGUUGUUUGGUUCCAUUAGAUGAUGUGGAGGCGAUGAACACUUAACAGUGCAACUAGACAAGAACUAGAGUUGUCAUUAGUUGAUGACUGAAGGCAUUGUUGCUGUUGUUCAUGACUGAAAAGGAGAGGCAACUUCAAUUGAACGUGGACAAGCAGUGUUCCCACAGAAGACUGUGUAGACAUUCUCUUUCCAUUUGAUGCUCGACACUUGUUCGAGCAGAUCUGAGUCUAGCUACUUCACCUUUGAUGCUCUCAACCUCAAUCUGAUAAUGAGCCUCUAUCUAACACUUUUCUUCACCUCUAUCAUUUUUCUUCAAUCACGUGCAGCACAGCUUGUGCGGGGGACCUACCUUUCAACCUGGUACAUGCAUGAUAAAUGUAUGAAUAUGUAAUCUAUAUGACAAACUCGCCCUUCGAGGGGUGACAUAUGGUCGCAACUCUUGUAUGAUGAAACAAGAAUCUUGAUUCUUGCACAAACUCUACAAUGAAAAUGUUCUGAGCGACGGUCAUUGUGUCACCCAUAAGUCUGGAGUUCAAGAUGCUUCAAAAAGGGCUUGCUCGGAUGCAAAACAAUGUAUACGGAGCAUACAUCCUAAAGGUAGAUUCUAAUCUUUUUAAGUGAGACAAAAGGUAGGAUAUCAUCUUCUUCAUCGACAUUUGCUUGUCCGCUAGAGCUCAAAACAACGUUCAACUCCUCUACGUCAACAUCAACAAGACUAUCAUCGAAAACACGAAAAUUUGAAUUUUCUUCCAAUUCAAUCGAAGGAGCAACUCGAUAUGGUUCAACCAACUCACUAACUUGAAAGACUUCAUCCCACACACUUGUGUCUUCGUUCUCAUCCUAAACAACCUCGACACGACCCCGUGGUUUUGUUUUUAAAACGAACAACCAAUCAACUCUUGAUCGAUCCUUUCUAAAUGAAGGGGUGUAUGUGUAAUAAACUUGUUGACAUUACUUUGCGAAAACAAAGACAUCGUUUAUGUUGCAGAGUCUAGCUUUUGAGUUGAUUUCGACUAGACCAUGGUGUGUAUCAACUCUGAUUCCUCUGUCCGUCGUGUCAUACCAAUAGCGUUUGAAUAAAAACACUGUAUUCUGCUCGCUAUGAUAUUGUAGUUCGACGACCUCUUCUAAUCUUCCAUAGUAGUCAACUUUUAACUCACUACUUGUGGAUCCUUUAACACAAACACCACAGUUGUAUGUCUUUCUUCAUUGCCCGUAUUCUUCAGUAUGGAAAACAUAUCCAUUGACAAAAUACUUGUUAUAGCACUUAACUUUUCUUUCAGGCCCGAGGCUUAGUGAAGGCAAUGACUUAGACGCACUUCUUCCCAUUUGAUAAACCUUGUAUACAUGUAAUGUACAUCAAUAAACGGUAAAUGAACGAGAAUCUUGUAAUGACAUGCAUACGUACAGUAAUUUUGCAAGUUAGAAUGAGUUUGUGAUAGUGCUUACAUGUGUUCUAAACCAUGUGGCAAAUUGUUCAUCUUGUAAUUGAAAGAUCUGGGAGUCGGUCAGCUGCGAGUUAUUGGAGAGCAAAUAUUGUCGAUGUUGCCUGCAAGUGAUAAUGAGUGUAUGAUUUCACAAUAUAUAAUUAGCAGUAUAUUACUGACAAAGUUUAAAUAGUAUUACACAUAUAUAAACUUACUGAAUAAAUGGUCUUAACUCUUCACAGUUAAAUAGAACAUAGUUGUGUGCUUGUUUGAAUUCUAUUUCCGACAAAUAUCUUCCUCUUGUCGCACGUCAAAAACAAAUCCGUGCGCGGCAUCGACUGGCGAUUAUUCGUUCUGUUUUGCUGAUUUGGUUCUUUAGAGUCGCCACCUAGUAAUUCAUUGAGGGCUACUAGGAAACCUGAUGUACUGGACUUGUCAGAGAUCGCGGGUAAGGGACUGGUUGUGGUUAGGGAAGGUAUUAGCACCCCUAACGCACCCUACCUGAGGUAAGCUGCUUUGUGGACUUGAUGUGUUAAAGAAGUUUUAAAAAUUAUGUUCUUUCAUCGAAUUUUAGAAAAUACAACUUACAUGUAAGUUCAUAAUUCUUUAUCCGUGAUCAAAUCAGAAUAUUAAAUUCUUCUUUAUUCUUGCAAUUUUAUCAUAAUAAAAAAAACAUUCAUAAACAAAAAUACACACCACAUUCACUUUCAAGCUUUGUGGACUUGAUGUGAUAUUAAAAAUAAAAUUUUAGCCCAAUUAUAAGGCUUUGAUAAAUCAGUUAUUACUUUUCCAGACUAUUAUGUAGAUACAUGUUCUACAUUUCCAUGGAAAAUUCAACAUGAUUUUUAUCUGUCCUUUAGAUAUUUGUGCAUAUAAAAUAAAUUCCUUUUUUUUUAUUCAAUAACAUUCAAAAAAAAAAAUACAAGCACACAAACAUUUUUUUUAUUAUUAUUAUCACUUUCUCUGUCUUUUCUUUUCUUUUCUUUUACAUCCUUUUUUUUGUUCUUUUUAUACAUUACCUUACAAAUUAUAAAAACAAAUCAAACUAAAUAAAAAUGACAUUACAUAAUUUACAAUUUACAAAAACAGUCCCUAAACUCAAGAAAUUGCAUUGAAGGACACUGCCGGAACUGCCCUGAACUUGUGGCGGCGCGUCUUCCCACGUGCCACCGUCACUGGCGGCGCGUGAAUCUAGAAACAGCGGGAUCUGGUUCGGCUUCUCUCCUUCUUCCUUUCCUCGCCAGCGGUGAGCAACGCCGUCACCUGUAGAACACAAAAACGCAAGCAACAGUCUGUUUUAGUUAAUUUUUAGAUCUGUUUUCCAUCAUUAUCUGCUUCCCUUUCUUCUUUCUCCGGUCUAUUCUUGGGGAUUCACCAUCUUCUUCUCUGCUCAGGUAGUCGGGCGGCGGCUGGUUGAUGGUGGAUCUAUGGCCGGAUGUGGACGGCGCUGCUGGAGGAAGGCGUUGCUGCCUGAUUGUCGGUUGCGGUUGGUGCUGGACCUGUGGGGGCUGCCGUUGAAGGGGCUGGAAGUCAGAUCGUCUGAGAGAGAGGAGUGGUGGUUGAUUCUCCGUACCUGGCGAGAAGAAAAGGAAGUCUGAUCUGGGAGGAUCGGCCGGGGAAGCGGCUGAAGGAAGAAGAAAAACCGAAUCUAGAGGGGGGGAAACGGCGACCAGUUUUGAAAGGAAGCAGGUUCGGUUUUGGCCAGCGUUAUGAUCACGAUCGGUGAUGGGGUUCGGUGAGGAGGGGAAGAUCGGCUGUGGAGUGUGGUGGUGAGCGGCUGAAAAAAUCAAAGAAAAGGGGGCUCUGGUGAGGCCAAGAAGGAAAAAUUGAUUCGCCGGCUGUAAAAGGGAGAACCGGUUUUGGUUUGGGUGUGUCUGUGUUUGGUGCCAUGUCAUGUGCUCAGUAGUCCUUCGUGACAUGAAUAACCUCUGCAGUCUAGGUGUGAUCGGGAAAUAUCUAAGUUUUUCCCCUGCCAGUUCUGGGUUUGUAACGGGAAUACCCGCAUGUCAUGCACUCGGUCAUCUCAGCAUUUUCAAGGUAGUAUAACAUGUAGAAGUUAGGGCACAUGUCAAUUUUAUGGUAUCCUAAACCAAGGGGUUUCAUCAUGGACUUCGCAACAUAGAAGUUCUCUUUCAGCCUGUUCACUUCAGGUAAAAUGCUUCUUGCCCAAUCAAUAAUUUUUUCAUACCCGGCCUCACUCAGCCCGUGAUCUGACUUGAUGGUGAACACCUGUGCCACGGGCGACAAUUUACUGUGGUUUGUGCAGCCAUCCCAUAAUGGUUCGUCAGAAUCUUUCAACAAAUCAAAAAACCUAGCUGCCUCUGCAUUAGGUUCUUUUUCUACGAUUGGACAUUGAUUGACAUUACCUUGAUUCAUUCUCAUUGCAUCCAUAACCACAUUUCUGUAAGGAUUAGUGUUGUCAUUUCGCUUCAUGCACGUUGCUAGCACUAGAAGUUGACCCAACCACCGUUUCUCUCAUUCUCCUAUUACUAACAAAUACCUCUCCAUGUGCAUACCAACACUGGUAAUCCUCAAACCCUUUGUGUAGAAGAUGCAUCAUUACAACAUCUGGAUGCAGAUACUUUUUAUUUUGACACUUCCUGCAUGGACACCUAAUACCGCCUCCAGUAAAAUUUCUGGGAAUAGAUGUUGCGAAAUUAAUAAAACCCUGAACCCCGUUACAAUAAUCCAUCCUCCGCAAUCCUUGGGUGAAUCUAGAUACAUCCAUGAACGAUCAUCCAUGACUUCUAUCGAACCUCUAUAAAAUUAUGAUGACAUCAUGUAUUAAUUAACUAAGUUAGGUAAAUAAACUUGCAAAAAUAUUACUUUACCUCGAGAUUAUCCAACAAACCAAUCACAACUUCUCAUAAAUAUUAAAUAUUCAUUAUCAUUUAUCAACGUCCAUACAAAUUAAUAUAUAUAAAUUAACAGAAAUUACCACUCUGCAAUACCAUCGAUAAAACUUAAAAAGGACCCAUUAAGCAAGCUAUUAAUUAUUUCAAAACAGAACAUGUAAUUCGGUAAUUCCACAAAGUUUUAACAAUUUACAAACAAAUACAAUCUUACAAAAUCUAAAACAAACCAUAACAGGUAUAAAAUUAUACAUUCAUAUACUACAAGUUUGUUUGAGAAAUAACAAUAAAACAUGUACAUCUACUAACAAAAAUACAUAUACUAAAAAACAAUAAAAUUGACAUUUAAAUGUUAAAAUUUAAAUAGAUAGAAUUACUUACAAAAAUUGAUAAAAUCCGUCGGUAAAUCAGAACACGGAUGUUGUGACCACAAAAUUUCAAGAAAUACAACUUGUUGUGUUGAGAUGAGCAAGAUUUUUAUUUGGGGGCAAGGGGGGGCUGAUUAUUUGCAGAUGGGGAGAGUUAGGAUUAGGAAGAAAAAGGAGAUAUGGGGAAGGAGAGUGUCGACAGAGUGGCCAUAUAUUUACUUUUUCCGACGGCCUCAUCGACGGAAUAACACCGUCGGUGACUCCGUAGGUCAUUCCGACGGGAAAUCGACACGUCACCGCACGAACCUGCUUUUCAAAUCCCUCGGUGAUUCCGUCGGUAUUUUUUAUGGUGCAACGGUCGCGUCACCCAUACGGAUCUGCCGUUUCAAUUCUGUCGGUGAUUCCGUUGGUAUUUUGAAGUCCCAUGACACGUACUUGUCAACCAUUUUGAAUCCGUCGGUGAUUCUGUCGGAAAAAUCACCCGCCAAACCUCCACGUCAGCUACCCGCCCUUUUUUCAUUAAUUUUGAUUAUUCUGUCCGUAAUUCGGUCGGUAAUUACCAACCAAAUGACGGACAGAAUAAUUCCAUCGGUAAUUUCGACCGAAAAAUACCGACAAAAAUAUUCCUCGGGGAUUCCGUUGAUAUUAAGCGAAUUUCUGGUAGUGAUUUGAGCAACUCUGAAACAUGAAGCUAGUCAAUAGGCGUCUAUAAGUUGUACAGAGAUUUUACAAUAGAAACUAUUCAAGUAAGAUUUUGGUGCAAUCAGUAUUCUAUAUGCACGAACAAAUUUGGGGCUUCACUGUACUACCUCAGAUACUCUCAAAAAAUGCUUCUUGGAAUUCGGAAGUUUAGACGAUCAUCGGUUAACAUGUCUGGUGUUGGUGCUUCAUGAAAUGAUGUUACCGUUUCUCUUUCUGAACGUUAUUCCAGGUUGGAAAUUCAAGUAAUUAGUUCAAAUCCUAGAAGAUGAGUGGUGGCUUAGAAUGCUGUGAAAAAAUCGUUCCCCUGUUCAUUUUUCAAAUUAGAAAAGACAUAACUUUUUGCUUGAACUUCUAGAAUAUAAAAAAAUCUUACUUUUAUAUCUAGACACUUUCCAUCUAUGAUCUUUAAAUCUGAAGACAUAUCAUCUGGUUUUAAGAAAGUGCUAUUAACAUACCAAACUUUAUUAGAUUGUUGUUGUGCACUUAGGAAGAAAUAAAAUACUUGUCCUCUAUUGUUUUCAAUAGCAUGAUCAGCUUCAUAGUUUUCUACGUUGUCUUUUUACUAGAAGUACCUUCGUGAAUGUUGGGAAUUUCUGUCUUUUGCAUCUAUACCAGCACUCUUUUACUUAGUGUCCACCUCAUUUUCAAGUUCAUGUCGCUGGAUCCAGCGGUCAAGAGAAAAUCAUGUCAUUGACACUAAUUUAGACCAUCAAAAUGAUUGAUAUUUGUGUUAAAUGGUUCCUUUUAACUGAGAGAAUUCAUAUUAGGUGUUUUUCUUACCUUUAAAGUUUGUGAAAAAACAAAUAUUAUCUCAAGCUGAUUUUUGGUUUCAUGUUCAUUUCUAUUUUUUAGAGGGUUUGUUGGUUUUUUAGGCUAAAAAUAUGUUUAUCAUGGUUCUUAAGGUUUUUUAUAGGUGUUUUGGGUCAAAAUGAGUUUUGAGUAAAAAAACUUAAGCCUUGAUUUUUCAACCACUACAGUGGUUGGAAUCCGGAUAAGAUCAGACGACGCGUUGUCUGUCUCAAUAGGCAACGCAUCAUCUGAUUGUUUUAAAAAAAUAGAGGUGGACGACAUGUCAUCUGCUCUAAGUGCAGCGAAAAAAAUGGGUCCAGUUAGGUGAGCCCUAAUGAAAUGGGCCAGGCCAGGCAACACUUGACCGUUUUUUCCCUUAUUUUUUUCAAUUCAUCCUUAUUUUUAUAUGUUUUUUUGUAAAAUAAAAAAAUAUUUAUAUUUAGAUUAAUACCUCUUUUCUUUUUGUAUUUUGUUCAGAAAGUCUUUUAAAUGAUGAUUAUUUUUUUGUUAUGUUUUUAAUUUUUGAAGAGGUCUUUCUGAUUCAUUUAUAUUUUUUUUAUCGUUUAUGUAGAAGAAUUAUAUUUUUGAAAAUAAAAAAUAUUUAUUUUCAAAUAAUAUUUCUACAGAGAGGUCGCUGGAUCCAGCGAUAAAAAAGAAAAUCAUGUCGUUGACACUAAUUUAGGCCACCAAAAUGAUUGAUAUUUGUGUUAAAUGGUUCCUUUUAACUGAGAGAGUUCAUAUUAGGUGUUUUUCUUACCUUUAAAGUUUGUGAAAAAACAAAUAUUAUCUCAAGCUGAUUUUUGGUUUCAUGUUCAUUUCUAUUUUUUAGAGGGUUUGUUGGUUUUUUAGGCUAUAAAUAAGUUUAUCAUGGUUCUUAAGGUUUUUUAUAGGUGUUUUGGGUCAAAAUGAGUUUUGAGUAAAAAAACUUAAGCCUUGAUUUUUCGACCACUACAGUGGUUGGAAUCCGGAUAAGAUCAGACGACGUGUUGUCUGUCUCAAUAGGCGACGCAUCAUCUGAUUUUUUUUUUAAAAUAGGGGUGGAUGACAUGUCAUCCGCUCUAAGUGCAGCGAAAAAAAUGGGUCUAGUUAGGCGAGCCCUAAUGAAAUGGGCCAGGCCAAGCAACACUUGACCGUUUUUUUCCUUAUUUUUUUCAAUUGAUCCUUAUUUUUAUAUGUUUUUGGUAAAAUAAAAAAAUAUUUAUAUUUAGAUUAAUACCUCUAUUCUUUUUUAUUUUGUUCAGAAAGUCUUUUAAAUGAUGAUUAUUUUUUUGUUAUGUUUUUAAUUUUUGAAAAGGUCUUUCUGAUUCAUUUAUAUUUUUUUUAUCGUUUAUGUAGAAGAAUUAUAUUUUUGAAAAUAAAAAAUAUUUAUUUUCAAAUAAUAUUUCUAAUACGUGUAGCCUUGCAUAAUGUUUUUUUUUUCUUUUUAUUUUAUUCAAUCAAUCUAAUGUGUUUGUCCAUUUCUUUUAUCAAUUGAUUGAAUAAAAAUACAUUAUAAUAAUCGUGUAAAUAUCCAGUCUUGCGAUAUUAAAUAUCUUGAUCCACACAUGUAUCUUGAUUUUUCAAGUUUUAUUUUUAAGUAUUGUUAAUGACUUAUUAUUAAUUUAUUAGCACACAUAGUUCUCGGUUUACUUGAUUACAUGUAUUUUUGAUCUACACUUCAAUUUUUUGAAUUAUAGAAAUGCAUUGAAAAAACUUAUUUAUAUAAUGUUUUUAUAGAAAAUAAAAAUAUCUGAUCCGUAACGGAGCGCGGUUCAUAUAACUAGUAAAUACUAAAUUGAAGUGAUAAAAAAUAACAUAAAGCACAAGUAAAUUACAUAUACAAGUGAUCAAUGAUAGAGGCUCCUCUAUGUAUAGAUAAUGGAGCAUUGAUUCUUAAGUUUAGGGAGACACAUGGUGCCCGUGUCAGUUUAUAUUGGAUCCUGUGCUUGUAAGUAAUGAUGGAUUCUCAUGAGUCCUACUAUUUAACAUGCUUAAGAAUAAAGUUGACAUGUUGGAUAAUUGAUUGAUCUCUUAGUUCAAGUAAUCUGAUUCAUUCUUCAUAGUUAAUGUAUCUAGUGACUUGAUAUAAAAAGCCUAGUGGGUUGGUAACUGGUAGCAUGUGAUGUCUAGUAAGCUAGGUGACAGGUAACUAGUACCUAUAAAAAGUCCCAUUUGAUGGACGUGGGGAUUCUCAGAUGGUAAAGUCGAUAACUUUAUGGAAAGAGAAAGUGCAAUAAUAUUUUAAAGAGAUAUACUCUGAAAAUAUAUACAGUUAUACACAAUAGAAAAUGAAGAGAUUGUGAACCUUUAACUUGAUGGAUUCAUGGUGUAUUUAUAGCUUAUAAAUUUUAUCCUUUUAUGGAGAGGAGGGGCUGAAGUGUAAUUUCAAUAUUGUGAUAUUUUGAGUUGUAUUCCACUCAAAAUAAUAUGUAUUUGAUCAAUAUAAAAUAUCAAAAGAUGUAAGUUGGAUUUUGAAAAAUUCUCUAGUGAGUAUUGGGCUCGGAUAAGGUGCCCGAGCCCAUUGGAGGUGAAAGCAGGUUCGGGAGUACUACCUGGACUCAAACACACUAAGCUCAGGCGUGAAAACCUGUUCCCAUGAUGGCUAUAGGGUGCAUGCCCAACACCAUUUGGGCGUACACCCUACAUAGGUACACAUACAUUGGGGUGUAUUGAGCGUACAUACACUGGGCAAAUGCCCAAUGCACUGCAUAAUGCCCAUGCAUUAGACGUUCAUACGCCCAUUAAGGAGCAUGGGCUUGGGCUCCUUGCCCGAGCCCAUGUUCUUGGUGCGUGGAUAGCCCGAGCUCAUGUUCCUUGGGUGGUUUUUGAGUUUUUUUUUUCUCUUUUAGAGGAUUUCUUUGGGUCUAUUUUGAGGGAUUUUUUUGGUCAAUUUUAUUUGUAUCCAUCAGAUUCUAUUAUCAAUUUAAAAAGUCUGAAGUGAUAGAUUAAAAAUAUAUUUUGUAUAUAAGUUCCUCAUUUUCCAUUCGUAACCCAACAACACAUCUUGAAACAUUAAACUGACUUAAACCUUCAAAUAGAGAAUUGAAUUUUAAUGAAAUUUAACCUUUUUUUACAAUAUCUGACACUAAGCAACGAAUAGCUUCUAUAAAGAGGAUUUUUUAGGGAUUUUUUUUUAAUUCUUUUCUAUUUAGUGUAAGAAGUUAAAUUUUAUGUUUAAUAUUUUUAUUUUUCAUAGUUUAUUUAGAAUUUUUAUUAAUUUUUUUAUUUUUAGGUUUCUAGUUUGUUUAGGUUAGUUUUUUAAGUUUAUUUAAGGAGUUGUAAACCUCUUAGUAAGGAAAACUACAUGAACAUAAAAUAUUCAGUAAUAAAAUUAUAAUUUAGGGUUUUGUGUGACAAUUUUAUUUAACUUCAAUGAUACUAGUGGUUAUGUCUUUAUAGCUUAUUGUUUUUAUGUUUGUGUUUCCGUUUAUGUUAGUUGGUAUUAAAGUUCAAUGAUACUAGUGGUUAUUCGCUUGCUAUGUGCUAGAAUAACAAUGAUUAGAAAAUGCUAUGUGCUAAAAUAACAACUCUAAAAUAAAGAAAAUGUAAUAAAAUUUCUAAAAAAACUAAGAGAAAUAAAAUUACUUCUUUCAUGAAUUCAAUCUUGAUUUAUAAUAGAACUCAUGUUUGGAGGCACUUAGGCCUUUUCAACACAGUUAUUUUAUAAUUAUCUAUUUAGAUGGAAGGCAAUUAAGUCUUUCACCAUAUAUAAAAUUAAUUUUAAAAAAAGAUGGUUGGUAAAUGCCACUCACAUGCCAGUAAGUAGGAGGUAUUCAUGUUUUUUAGGCGAUACAUAUGGCACCUUACAAUGGUCAAAUGUCGUUGUUCGCUACAGUGUGUAAAGUAGAGCAUCAUCAUUUUCAAAGUGAUAGGGCACAUAUUCACAAUGGAGGUGAGGUUAAGCUCUGAUGAAUCUUUUUUUUCUUCUUUUUCUUUUCUCUCUCCUAGCCUCAAAAUUUUCACUAGCCCUUUAAAAAAUUAAUUGUGUCAUCCAGUUUGGUCUUUAUUCUUUUGAUUGCUAUUUGUUUUUUCAAUUUUAUUCCUCAUCAUUUUAUCUUGUUUAAUUUUUGUGUCCAAUUUUGGUCCUCAUGCUUUGAUUGCUAUUUUUUUAAUCAUUUUCUUAAUUUAUUUUAAAUUUUAAUUUAGUCCCUCAUUGUUUUAUUUCAUUUAAUUUUUAUGCCAAAUUUAAUCUUUAUGUUUUUUAUUGCUAUUUGUUUUGUUUAUCUAAUUUUGGAUGAUUAGGGAUUUUUCUUGGUAUUUUUUAGAGUUUGCCUUAAAUGGUUUAAUCUUGAUCUCAUAACUCAAGUCACUAGUUUUGAGAAUUAGCCCGAUUUAACUUCAAUAUUUUUUAUGCCGUUUUCUUAAAAUUGAUUAUUUUUUAAUUUUAUCAUUUCAUUUUAGGUUAUUGGAUCUUGAGUUUCAUGGUUUUUUCCACUUUUCUUUUUCUAUUUUAUCCUAGGUCAUGGGUUUGUUGGGUGAACCCAGAUUCAUUCAAGUUUUAAUUUUUAUUCAGUCUUGAGUUUCAUGGUUUUUAUUUAAUUUUUUUAUUUCAUCAUUCGACAUUGAGUUAUUGGGUCAUUUGAAAUUCAUUAUUAUGCCUUAAGCUUUGUGAUUUUAUUUUUUUUUCAUUUUUCUUUUUGUGGGGUUAACCUAGGUUGACUUCGGAUUUUUUUGGUAUUUCUUUUAUUUUUCUUUGAUCUUUUUUUCUAGGUCAUUUUUAUUUUGAAUAAUUUUUUAUCCCGAUCACAUUAUGUGGAUUGCGAGUUAGUUGAGUGAAUCUUAGCUAUCUCAAUUUGUUUUACGUUGCUUUUUUUUAAUGAUUUUUUUAUUUCAAUUUAAUUCUUUGACAUUAGAUUGUUGGGUCAUGAUCUUAGUGAUUUUUUCCACUUUCCUUUAUAUGAAGUUGGCCCAAGUUACAAGUUAAUCAAAUUAACCCGGUUUAUAUGAGUGGGGCACAAGUUACAAGUUAAUCAAAUUAACUCGGGUGGACUCAAUUGUUUUCUUGACAUUGACUUCGAUCUUUUUAUUUAAGUUUAUUUUUUAAUUUAUUUUUUUUAUUUUGAUCUCAUAUUGAGGGUAGUGGGUAGUUAGGUGAGCCCAGGUUGACUCGUGUUGAUGUGAAUCUCGUGAUCACGUAGUCACGCAACCCACAAUCAAAAUUAAGAUCUAAUCCCGGAAAGCCGAAAUAGAUCUGAUAGGAGUCUGACACAAUGGAAACUUGCCCCAAGGCACCAACACUAUUGGAAUGAGUAGAAUGACGCCACGAAGCCAAUUAAUCUUCGAUAAAUCAGAUUCAAUUCGUUCAAGAACUAAAGAAUGCAAGAAUCACUCUCACACAUUAAAACUGAAAAAUUCAGAAGUAAUAAUCAUCAAAGCUCCCAAAAUUUUGGCUUGCAUGAGUUUAAAUAGUUCUUGAAAAAUUAACCCUAAUGGACCCCUUAUAUGGACUUAUAUGAGGUCCACUCAAAACUGAUGCAAAAUCCUAAACUGAAAAGCCCAUAACUUAAUCCAAACAAGCCUUGGAUCCUAGCUGAAAACAAAGUAUUAAUUAAGCUCAAACAUAAAAGAAAAUAAUAAAAAUAACUAACUUGUCAUUAAAUACCACCAGCCCUUCUUUCUUUGUGUAGUUAGGAUGAAUAAGGGAAUCCUUAUAAGAAAAUUAUUCUAAAACAUUAAUGAAUCAUUGCCACACUUGGAGAAUAUUAUAUUGCAGCUCAUUAAAGAUCCUUAAGGAACUAGGAAAUUCCCAAAACAAGCUCCCACAUCCUUGUAGGAAAAUGAUCCUUGCUGAACAGGAAGUCCACAAGUUAAAAGGAAGUAAAUAAUAGAAUUCGCAUAACCUGUUCGGACCUAUAUUGCAAGUCUUUUCCGAACAUGGAUUCUUCUAAAAAUGUACCCCAACAUAGAAAAACAUUUUUGAAAUCUUCUAGUAAAGUUUCAGCUCGAUCCAACGGUUGGAUUUGAAGUUAUGCUCAAUAAUGUAAAACUGAACGGUAGAAACUUUUACGCCAAAAUCCAAAUCUGACAUUGCUUGGUUCGUAUCACAAGGCUGAACUGUAUCACGUGUUUUUUCUUCGAUGUUUUUAUUUUUAAAUUUUAUUUUUCAAGUUUUAUCUUUUGAUAUUAGGUUAUUGGGUUUUACUUAAAGGAUAAAGGGGGGGUUCAUUGGAAUCUAAAAGUAAGUUUGACAUAUUCAUGAUGAAUAAAAGUACAAAAGUAGAUUAAUUGAAAUAUUAUUAGUUUAAUUAUAUAAAUAUUAUGUAAAGUUCGAUGUCAUUUAUCCACACACAAAAACAAAUUGCAAUAUUAACCCGGAGGUAAGAAGUCUAGGGUAUCUUGAGAAGAGUGAUCAUGGAUCCAAGGUUAAUUUUGAGAAUUUGUUUCAAAGAUGUAAGUAGAGAAAAUAACUUUUUGAUUGGGAUAAAUAUAAUAUUGAAAUUAAAAUUUUGAUAAUUCUAGUUUUUUUGUGAAUCGGAAUCAAAUACCAAAAUUUGAUAAGGAUGAUGAAAAUGAUGGUAAAGAAAAAGAUUUAAAUGCAAAAUUUUUAAUUAGUGAUAUCCACGAGAAGAUAACAAAAAUAGAUGUGGUUACGAUGCAUAGCGUGAAGGAUGUGUGUUUGAGAAAAAAAAUUAGAAUUAAUGAGGUGAAAGCUGAUGCUAUUGCAAUCCAGCUCAUGCAAGACUUCCAAGUCGUUGGCAGUAUCCAAUUCGAAUAUUAUAGACUUCGUCUAAGGUAGUUUACGAAGAAAGUACCCGUAAGACAUGGUUAUAAUAAAAAGUCGUUGGCAGUAUCCAAUCGAAUAUUAUAGACUUCGUCUACGGUAGUUUACAAAGAAAGUACCCAUAAGCAUGAUUACAAUAAAAAGUAUACAUUUCCUGAAAAAAAGAAAUGAAAAACACUACAAAGCUGAGAAAGGCAGACAAUAUCAAUUGUCAAAAUCUAAGGAUACUCAAAUGAGUUUCGGAAGGAAAACCUGAAAAUGUACGAGAGAACACAACCCCAUCAUUGAAGCUGCUAUUUAUAUAUAUAUAUAUAGACAUGAUCUAAUGCUAGCAAGCUGCGAAUCAUAUAUUUUAAGCAGCACACAUUGAGAAAUGAUUUCAGUCUCAUCUUGCCUUUGGGUCAAUUAUUUUAGAAAACACACCCCUUGCUCUUUGAUCUGGAUCACUUUGGGUGACACUUUCACGAGUGCUGAUAAGCCACGAUCUGAAGAAUCUCAAAGUCCACGUCAUUCUAAGAGGAUCCAUAAACCAAAUCCCAAAUAUCUGGGAUGAGCUGAUCGUGAGUUAAUGCAUGCAUAACGGAAGAAGCCAUUAAACAGGGGUCGUGGCUAUCAAGGAGUAAUGGAAGGAGGGGUUACACCCGUUAUAUCACCAUUUAUGGUCAUCAGUUAUAUCUUAAUUAAUUCCAAGUUAUUAGUAGCUUUAUUGUUCCCUUUGUAUUUCAGUUUUAUUUGUAAUUCACUUUGGCUAUUUAAGCAGCUAAAGUUUUAAUAAGAAGAUAUAAUUUCAGUAAAAAAGUGUGGUUUAGUUCUCACCCGAAGAGAACCUUUAUAAUUUGUGCUGGGACCUAACAUUGGUAUCAGAGCACGUUAUGGGAACCAACAAGGAGCGUAUUGAGCACCUGGAAUCUGGACUUGGGAUAGUUCAAGAUGGUCUUCAGAGAAUGGAGUUGGGAGUGAAUGAUAAACUCCAACAUUUGGAAGACACUCUUACUCGACUUGCCAAUAUGUUGAGGCAAAUCAAGAGAAUCCUAACCGCGACAAUUAUCAUAGAGAAGGCAACAAUGGGGGUCGGCAGAUUAUCUCCUCCAAAACAGCAAAACUGGACUUCCACGAUUUUCAGGGGAUGACCCAACCGAAUGGUUCAACCGUGUGGAACAAUUCUUUGAAUACUUGGGCACAGUUGAAAACCAAAAGGUAGCCAUGGCUGCUUACCAUCUUGAAGGGGAGGCCAACCAGUGGUGGCAAUGGCUUCAAAGGACGUUGCAGGGAGAAGGGCAAGUGAUUUCAUGGGCAAAUUUCAAGAAGAGUUAUGGGCUCGUUUCGGACCAUCAGGCUGUGAAGAUUUUGAUGAAGCUCUCUCAAAAAUCAAACAGGAGGGACAUUGAGGGAUUACCAACGGGAGUUCGAGAAGCUUGGAAAUAAGGUACAAGGUUGGACACAGAAAGCAUUAGUGGGAACAUUCAUGGGGGUCUGAAGACAGAAAUUUCUGAAGGGAUUCGGAUGUUUAACCACAAUCCCUCAAGGAGGUCAUUAAUCUAGCAAGAAUGAGAGAUGAGCAACUUACAAGACAGAGGCGGUUCUACGACCAGCACCUCCAAAAAUUCCUCUAGCUCUUCCACCACCCAAUCGGGUAACUCCUGCUAGUCGGUCUACUCCGCUUAGGCGUUUGUCAUGGGAGGAGAUGCAAAGAAGAAGAGUGCAAGGCCUUUGUUUCAAUUGUAAUGAAAGGUUUACAGCCGGGCACAAAUGUCAACAACCUCAGCUACUACUCUUGGAAGGUUACAUAGAUGCUGGUAAUAUGUCCUAUGAAGAUAUUACUUAUCCACAAACCAGGGGGUUUGUACAAGGAGAAGAUACAGUAGAGGCAUGCGAACCAGAAUUGGAACCUGAAAUCACUCUGCAUGCAUUAACAGGGUGGACAGCCCCAAGAACAAUGCGAGUGACAGCGAAGGUGGGCUCUCAUACGGUGAUGGUGUUGAUAGACAGUGGAUCCACACACAACUUCAUCAGUGAUCGCUUAGCAAACACACUACAUCUACCAGUGAAACCAACCAAGUCGUUCACUGUUCGGGUUGCUAAUGGCCAGCGUCUACAUUGCCAAGGACAAUUUGAUAAGGUACCCGUGAAUUUACAAGGCACUGAAUUUUAUCUCACACUCUUCUCUCUGCCAUUAUCAGGGCUUGAUCUAGUGUUGGGCAUCCAAUGGUUAGAAUUGUUGGGAUCAGUGGUUUGUAACUGGAAAGACUUAACUAUGGACUUCAUUUGGAAUAAUCAAGCUCGAAGGUUGCAAGGAGUGGGGAGCAAUCUAUUCAAGAGGCUACUUUAAAACAAGUCUCAAAAGAUUGUCGACAGCAACAGAUGUUAUUUGCAGUAUGUUUCCUUUCAACCACGAGGACAAAAUUCUGAAGGCAGACUAUGGCAAUCAAGACAUACAGCAGUGAUAAAGGAGUAUCAGGAUGUAUUCCAAGAACCCUCAUGCUUACCACCUGUGCGGAGGUGACCAUUGCAUUGCACUUAAGGAGGGCACUGAGCCGGUUAAUGUACGACCCUACGAUAUGCUCACUUUCAGAAAGAAGAAAUUGAAAAGCAAGUGCAGGAGAUGCUGAAAUCAGGACAUAUACGUACUAGCACCAGUCCUUUUUCUUCACCAGUGUACUCGUACGAAAAAAAUGGUAGUUGGAGAUUUUGCACGGAUUAUCGCGCACUAAAUAAUGCAACUAUCAAGGAUCGGUUCCCCAUUCCAACCGUGGAGGAUAUGCUUGACGAAUUAUAUGGAGCGGCAUAUUUUACGAAACUGGAUUUACGAGCUGGAUAUCACCAAGUAAGGGUCAAUCCUUCUGAUAUUUCUAAGACUGCUUUUCGUACUCAUAAUGGCCAUUAUGAAUACCUCGUUAUGCCUUUUGGCCUAUGUAAUGCACCUUCCACAUUUCAGGCCAUCAUGAACACUAUUUUUCGACCUCACCUUCGAAAAUUCAUUCUAGUUUUCUUCGAUGAUAUCCUUAUCUAUAGUACUACAUGGGACAAACAUGUGGAACACAUUGCACAAACUCUGCAGAUUUUAAGACAACAUCAGUUUUUUGCUAAAGCUAGCAAAUGUGUUAUCGGCCAACAAGAAUUGGAGUAUCUGGGGCAUAUCAUUACACCGCAAGGAGUGAAAGUUGAUGACCAAAAGAUUACAGCCAUGCUUGCAUGGCCUCGACCUACUAAUAUUUCUGAAUUGCGUGGUUUUUUAGGAUUAACAGGUUAUUACAGGAAGUUCGUCCAAAAUUACGGCAUCAUUGCUCGACCCCUUACCAAUCUAUUAAAGAAGGGGAAAUUUGGAUGGCAUGAUGAGGCAGAGGCAGCCUUCUCAGCUCUCAAGCAAGCCAUGACAACCACUCCCACUUUAGCCAUGCCUAAUUUCAAUGAUUCAUUCACAAUUGAAACAGAUGCUUCAGGAGAUGGUAUUGGUGCGGUUCUAACACAGCAAGGCAAACCCAUCGCCUACAUGAGUCGGGCACUGGGAGUCACAAAAAAAUCCUGGUCCACCUACGCCAGAGAAAUGCUUGCAAUUGUAGAAGCCAUCCGUUUAUGGCGUCCUUAUAUACUGGGAAGAAAAUUCUUCAUUGAAACCGACCAGCGUAGCUUGAAGUAUCUACUGGAUCAACGAAUAGCAACACCAGAACAGCAAAAGUGGGUAGCCAAACUACUGGGUUAUGACUAUGAAAUUCGUUAUCGUCCAGGCCGCGAAAACUCAGCUGCAGAUGCACUCUCCCGCAGGCCAAACAGCCCCACACUUCAUCAUUUGCACGUGGCCACCGUAACCUUGUGGGAUGAAAUCAAAGAAGCAUACAUUGGGAAUAAAUACAUUCAGUCAGUAGAGCGGGUAGCCAAGGCUCAACCCAAUGGACCAUAUUCACAACGCCAAGGAUUGUGGCUAUUCAAGCACAGAGUGAUAAUUCCUACAUGUGAACUGCUACGCACCAAGUUAUUGUAUGAAGCACACAAUACCAAGAUUGGCGGACACUCUGGAGUCUUACGAACAGUCAAACGACUAGCUCAUCAAUUUUACUGGCCUAAGAUGCAACAAGAUGUCCAAGAAUAUGUCCGACGCUGUGAAGUAUGCCAAAGAAUGAAAUCAGACACUCUUUCCCCUGCUGGACUCCUACAGCCUUUACCCGUUCCGUGUCAAGUUUGGGAUGAUAUUACUCUUGAUUUCGUUGAAGGAUUGCCAACCUCCCAUGGAAAAGAUACAAUCUUAGUAGUGGUUGACAGGUUAAGCAAAUUUGCCCAUUUCUUGCCCUUAUCCCAUCCAUUUACUACAAAAGGAGUAGCUGAAAGAUUUGUGGAAGGAAUUAUUAAGCUACAUGGCAUUCCUAAAUCAAUCAUUAGCGAUCGAGAUCCCAUCUUUAUCAGCCAAUUUUGGCAACAGUUAUUUCGCUUGUCAGGGACACAACUAAAACUCAGCUCUGCCUAUCAUCCACAAACAGACGGCCAAACCGAGGUGGUAAAUCGAUGUGUUGAACAAUAUCUUCGCUGCUUUGUUCAUCAAUGGCCGCGCAAGUGGAGCACCUAUAUUCCUUGGGCUGAGCUCUGGUAUAACACCACAUUCCAUGCCUCUACUAAAAUGACUCCAUUUCAGGCAUUGUAUGGUCGACUGCCUCCUCUCCUUCCCAAUUACCAGGGUGGUGAUGCGUCGGUGCAUGAGGUGGACAAGAAUCUCAUGUCUAGAGAUGAGUUACUAAGUCACCUAAAGACAAAUUUGGAGAAAUCCAGCAAUCGUAUGAAGCAGACAGCAGACAAAAAAAGAAGGGAGGUGACUUUUGCAGUAGGUGAUAUGGUGUUUCUCAAGUUACACCCCUAUCGACAACAAUCGGUUUUUAAACGUGUGCACCAAAAGCUUGCAAGUCGAUUUUACGGCCCUUAUCCAGUAGUUCAAAAAAUCGGCGCAGUUGCUUACAAACUUCAACUACCAGAGGGCAGUCGUAUUCACCCGGUCUUCCACGUCUCUCUACUCAAGAAAUAUGUGGGCGACCUAGUGGUGUCAUCUACAGAAUUACCACCAGUGAAUGAUGAAGGCCUAAUUAUACUGGAACCACAACAGAUUUUGGACACUCGCUGGGUCAAACAGGGAAACAAAUUUGAAGAGGAGAGCUUGAUUCAGUGGCAACGACUACCAGCAGAGGAGGCCACAUGGGAACUAACUAAGUCGUUGCUUGAGCAAUUUCCACACAUCAACCUUGAGGACAAGGUUUUGCUUGGUGGGGGAGGUAUUGAUAAGCCACGAUCUGAAGAAUCUCAAAGUCCACGUCAUUCUAAGAGGAUCCAUAAACCAAAUCCCAAAUAUCUGGGAUGAGCUGAUCGUGAGUUAAUGCAUGCAUAACGGAAGAAGCCAUUAAACAGGGGUCGUGGCUAUCAAGGAGUAAUGGAAGGAGGGGUUACACCCGUUAUAUCACCAUUUAUGGUCAUCAGUUAUAUCUUAAUUAAUUCCAAGUUAUUAGUAGCUUUAUUGUUCCCUUUGUAUUUCAGUUUUAUUUGUAAUUCACUUUGGCUAUUUAAGCAGCUAAAGUUUUAAUAAGAAAAGAUAUAUAAUUUCAGUAAAAAAGUGUGGUUUAGUUCUCACCCGAAGAGAACCUUUAUAAUAUUGUGAUGGGACCUAACAUUGGUAUCAGAGCACGUUAUGGGAACCAACAAGGAGCGUAUUGAGCACCUGGAAUCUGGACUUGGGAUAGUUCAAGAUGGUCUUCAGAGAAUGGAGUUGGGAGUGAAUGAUAAACUCCAACAUUUGGAAGACACUCUUACUCGACUUGCCAAUAUGUUGAGGGCAAAUCUACGAGAGAAACAAAAUGUACGAGAGAACACAACCCCAUCAUUGAAGCUGCUAUUUAUAUAUAUAUAUAUAGACAUGAUCUAAUGCUAGCAAGCUGCGAAUCAUAUAUUUUAAGCAGCACACAUUGAGAAAUGAUUUCAGUCUCAUCUUGCCUUUGGGUCAAUUAUUUCAGAAAACACACCCCUUGCUCUUUGAUCUGGAUCACUUUGGGUGACACUUUCACGAGUGCUAACAGUGCUCCUUGAAUGUGACUCCGCUCCACUAAACAUGUCAUCGUCAUCAGUGGUCAUGGCAUCUCGAUGUGGUGAAAAUGAGCUUUUAUUUUCCAUAUUGAUCCCUUCUACACUGUUGGCAUUUUUCUCAGCAGAUUGUUGAAGCUGCAAUGCAAAUUCAAGGCCCCAAACGACAUCACCCAUUUUAGGGCGUUCAAUUCCUUGACCAUGUAAGCAACUGUUAGCAAUCUCUGCGAACUUAUUUAAAGAGACGGGGGCAACCUCGCCCUUUAAAUGUGGAUCCACGAUCUGAUCAAGGGUUCCUCUUUGGUAACAUUUUCGUGCCCAGUCAGCUAAGCUUGCUUGAUCUUUCGGUGAACUUGGAAUCACUGGUGGCCUUGCACAUAGCACCUCAAACAAAACCACACCGAAUGAAUAAACAUCAGAUUUUCUGUCAGGUGUUGCCUACGGUAGUACUCUGGAUCCACAUAUCCAAUGCUACCUCUAACUACAGUGCUAACAUGGGUUUGGGAUGUACUAGUGGGACCCAAUCUGGACAGCCCAAAAUCUGAAACCUUAGCCACCCAAUUCUCAUCUAACAAUAUGUUUGUUGACUUCACAUCACGGUGAAUGAUUGUGUGCUUUGCUCCUGAAUGAAGAUAAUGCAACCCUUUUGCAGCACCGAUGCAUAUUUCUAGCCUUUGCUUCCAUGGAAGAGGAGAGUUCUUUGUUUUGUAUAGAUGUUCUCUAAGAGUGCCUCUUGACAUGUAAUCGUAUACAAGGAUCAUCUCGCCAUGAUCAUCACAGUAUCCAAUCAGCGACACUAGAUGGAGGUGGCGCAGAUUGGAUAACAUCUCAAUCUCUGUCUGGAACUCACGUGUCCCUUGCUUUGAUGAUGAAUCUAGUCGUUUGAUGGCUACUGCACCGUAUUCAAUGUAUCCUUUAUACACAGUACCAAAUCCCCCUGAACCAAUAAUAUUUUGAUCAUCAAAGUGUCCUGUUGCUUCGUUGAUUUCGAAAAAUGUAAACCGUCGGCAAAGAUCAGUAGGAGUGAUGAAGAGAUUGUAGUCGUGGACCUAGAUGUUUGUGAUAUUAGAGUCCAGGAGGAUUUUUCCUCACUCUUGCUAGGGUCCUUGACUCGCUUCUGCUUGAAAGCAAAGAAAUAAAGAAUAAGAGAGCAAGCAAACACUGCACCUAUGGAACCUCCAACGAUGGCUAUAACCGUAAGUAUUGAUGAUCUUUUGCCCGUUCUUCUGUCUUGUAGACUUGGAUGUUGUUCUGCUGGUGGAGGAGCCACUGUUGGCUCAGGGUUGAAUCCUGCAAGAUUUCCGUCUGUUGUAUUCAGCUUGAAUAUUUCCAAGCCAUUCAAGAUUGCAUCAGCAUAAGUAGGUUUCAGUUCCAUGUUAGGGUGUAGUUCGAGCCACAAGCCCUGCUUGCUCUGGCUCCCUGAGGGACCAGCACGAUGUAGUCUUUGUAAACUGGAAUGCCGUUGCCACCGCUCAUAUGGAUCACAUCUGCAUCAUGGCUGUGCUAUUUGAUUGUUGAUGAAUAUUAAAAAUACCUGUUGAUUUUCAGUUUUGAACUCCAUUCGAGUCUCACAAAAGUGGAGUCUAAGGAGAUAAUUGAAACCAGCAUCAACUGGGAAGAUCCAUGUGAGAUUGUAAUUCAUGUUAAGAAGUGGUUCAGGACCCAUAGAACGCAUAGUACUAUAUACCAUAACAGGUGCGGAGUAAGCUGGCGUUUUGGUUGUGUACUCUAUCUUGACGCCUGAGUGAUAUGGAGUGUUUCCAGCUUUUCCAAAGAGAUACCCUGAAUCUUGAUGCCAUGUCCUGUACAUUCCAGUCUUGUCUCCAGUGCUGCUGAUAUCUUGCCCCCCAACAUUCAGUCGAUAAACUGUCUCAAGCGCAGUUGUGUUACCCAGAUAGAAGGGGGCGGUGCCCACAUAGGUCGGUGGAUUAUCAUCGCCACGAGCAUAGAAGCUGUCUGGCAUGGAAACGAUUUCGAUACCAUUAACGAAGGCAAAAGAUGCUGGAGACGGAAUGAAGGUUAAUUCAAGCUUCUGGUUGUCCCACACGGUGAUGAUGAACUCUUUGGUGAAGUAGUCAACUGGAGGUCUUAUAGCAGAAACUGUAAGAGAGGCACUAAAGUUGUUUAGUAGCUUGUAGUUGUUGGCACUAAGCGAAAAAUAGGAUUUGGAUAUAUCAAGAUUUGAGUAAGAAGAUGGAUAAAAGUAGAGACGCACAAAUUUUGGGCCAGGCAAGACUGGAAUUGUGUAAGUGAAUUUAGAGUGAAGAAUACGGGCUGUCAUGUAUGGGACUUGGUCGACAGAGGGGUCUUGAGUGGAGGCUUCAAACACAGAUGAGGCUUCUGGGGGGUUAGAGGCAGCAAACUUAGACUGGGAAUCACCAUCCCAACUGCGACCAUCUGGAGAUGACAAAUUAGAGGAUGCACCACAGUUAAGGAGUAUUAGAUCAGUGGGGCUGUAUGGCAGCAAGUAAUCUUCAGUAGCAGUAGCAUAGAGGAAGAGAUGGAGGGGAGGGAGAAGGUAGAGAGCGAUGAAGAUGGACAUUAUGCUAUUUCUUUUGUGGAAUAAGUUGGAGUAAGAAAACCUAUGCAUUAAAUGCAAAGAUUUUGAUUUAAGGGAAGAUGAUCAGUGGCGUUUUUGUCUCCAUACAGUAUUUUUGCUCAGUUGAGAAUAAUCCAAUAAUAUAUUUGAAGCCCGGGGAGUUGAAAAUUCGACGAUAUGGCUAAUGGGACAUAUUGGUCGCUGUACUUAGUCAGCUUUGGAUGGCUGCUUUCCAUUGUGUGGUUCUGAAUUCUGCAAUAAAGACGCCAUGAAUAGUCUAUGAAACUUAUUUUUCUUUUCUUUUUUCCUUAACUUUUUCAUUGUUGGAUUAAGAUCACACACACCACUUAAUUUCUUAUUUGAUUAAUAUUCUUAACGAGGUUGAAUGUAUUUCAGGUUGGUGUUCACCAUAACAAAUGCAGUAAUCACAGCUCCGAGAUUAGGAUUCAAAAGGUGCAAAGCUUCUUUUUCCUUAUGGCCACCGCCUUGAUACAAUGAUUGUCGCAAGUGCAAGGUCUAUAUAAUCCUCACCGAUGCCUUCUGUCCAAUACACACACAUCCUCAUUAUAGGCUGGCCUUGCUUCAGUCUUCAAUAAGAAACAUCGUUCUUGUUCCUCAUGAGUAGCCCUUUCACUCGCCUCAGAUCCAUGAAGUCUCAUUUACUCCUUUCUAUUAUUCUUCUUCAAUGCUGUCUUACUGAUAAAAUGCUCUUGUUUUUGGUGUUAUAUAUUCUUCAAUGCUGUCUUACUGAUAAAAUGCUCAAAUGAGACUUCAUGGAUCUGAGGCGAGUGAAAGGGCUACUCAUGAGGAACAAGAACGAUGUUUCUUAUUGAAGACUGAAGUAUAUAUAUAUAUAUAUAUAUAUAUAUAUAAAAUUUUACACAGGCUCAAAGGAUCGACCUAUUUCUUUUUGGUUCAUGAGUGUGCCUUUUUGGGCUGAGUUUAAAACCAAAAAUCUUCUCAUCUGGUAUAGUAAUCGCUUAAUUACUACAAAACUUGGUGGUAAUGAGAAAUCUUUCUUCCCAUUAAUCGAAGAAUAAUGGAUUUACCUCUCGACAUACUUGGUGCCGAAUAAAAUCAUUAGCACUAGUGAAGAAGAGGCAAGCUGUCCUCUCUUCCCUGGAGAUGGCAAUUUGUUCUCUCUCAUCCUGUUAAGCUUGAUUUCCAUAAUUGAGGGGAAAUGAAUGGAGUUCUCGGUGGAUGAAAAAUAAUUGGAAUAAUAAAUGAAAUGAAAUUGUGUUUCAUUGUUGAAACAAUCAUGCUGAAAUCACUUCAAUCCAAGUCUCUACAUUGAAUAGGUCUAGCAAAUGUUCUUAUCUUGUACAAACAGGACACCUUAAGCAAACCUGUGAACAUUCCAAGAUCUUUUUUUCAACUUCAUAGCUUGCAAUAGAUUAAUGAGGAAGCUUCUCCAUUAAUUAGUGCACGAGAAAGACAAUCACUAGACAUCGUAUCGACAAAGCAAUUGCUUGCUAUUUUCUUCAAUUAUUAAUCAUCAUAAAGUACAUACAAAUUUUAUUGCUAUACUCAUCGGAAGCAUGAGUAGAAAGAAAGAAGAAAGAUUCAGACAGUCACCCUAGACGUAGAGCAAACUGAUCCCACCCAUCUUGGUGGAGCUCACAUAGACGGACUGGUUCACCUUGCGCUUUAUGGGUGGCUAUUCAAAUCGAAACCCACACAGACAGAUAAAGAACUGACCCCUUUGUCUCCUCUUCCUCGAUCAACUACCACGUUUGCACCGAUUGUAGUAAGUGCAGGGCCGAGUGUUAGGAUUGAUCGGUUUUGCACAGUCGCCAUAUAUUUGUGCAUUGCAAAUUGGUUGUCGUUCUAAACUAUCAUAGCUAAGAUAGUUACCCUGAGAGGCCAGUAGUCUCUGAUGCACUUCAGAUUCCAUAGAGAACUCCUCUUCAUUACCUUCACCGAUUGUGGCAUUGAAAAUGGGACUCGAGUUGCUUUCAAGAAAGGCAGCUGUAGAAGCAGAUGUGAUCACAAAAACCAGCAGGAUAGUUAAAGAGAGCCACCGGAGGAAUUCAAUACUUACGCUAGGCCUCAUCUCUUUCUGUCUGUACCCUUCUGUUACAGAGUUUGAAGAGCACUAAAUAGACGUCACUGCUAAGAAGGCUUCAAACUCUGGAUAUGGAGUGAAAGGCCAGCUUUUUUCCAUUGACUUGCUUUUUUGUGAAGACUUGGGUCUUCACAUGACUGUGAUUUUGACAUUGUGCGCUCUAAUUGCUUACAGCUGGCAAACUGGUUGGAUAAUGGUCCUUGCCAAUUCAAUCGUUUCCUCAUUGUUCGUUUGCAACCAUGAACAUUUAUUUUAGUGUUUGAUAGUGGUUUUUUAUAAUAUUUUUUAUUUAGAAAAAUAUUAAAAUAAUAUUUUUUAAAAUAUAUUUUUAAUAUCAAUAAUGCAAACACUCAUCAUGCAGCGUUUUCCGAGGGACAUCUAAUAGUUGUCGGAAACCAUGUGCGCGUCAAGUCCAUGGGCCAUCAGCUGAUGCUAAGUUUUGAAAAAAUUGCAAUUAUUUUUUUAUGGGAUCCUGCUAACAAACACUAGCAUUUCUCUUACUUUUAUGUAAUUAAAUGGUAGGGUAUAGCAGUUCUUACAAAGGGACCAUAGAAAUGUCUUUUGAACUGGUGCUAUUGGCAUACCCAUAAAUCUAUUGGCGUAACAUUUUGGAAAUGGAAUGUCAAGGUUUUUUCUUCUCUAACAUGAAAGCUUUCUCCUUUUUUUUUCGUUUAUUAAUAUUCAUAAAUUAAGAGAAAAUGUUGAUUUUUCAAUUGAAUAUACGUAAGGUAUGAAUUUGCUAUGCGUUUAGAGUACAUGAAAGACUUAUUUAUAUUAGGCUUUUUGAACUUUAAAACUAAUUAAAUUCUGCUUGAAGUUGAAAAUAUGUCAUGGAUGACGUGAUAACGUGAUAAGCACUUUUUGAAUAAUUGAAGGGGAUGGAUGUUUUGUUAAGGAUGACGUCAAUAUACACCCACACACUAUGAAGUUGAUUCAAAGAAUCAGGAUUAUAAUCUGGAUCUUCGUUAGUGAAUUUAUCCUCAUCAAAACUUGAUAUUUCGUACGAGGUUUCUUCGAGUGUUUCUUGUAUUCUGCCUUUGACCUUGAUGAUGCUAAGGUUUACUUGAAUUCGAUUUUAAGAGGUUAGAAAUGUAAAUUGUCUUUUUUAAGUUGGAGAUGAUAGGAAUUCUUGUAGCUAUGGAGUUUGUUGAGAUUGUAGCAAUAAGCUUGAGUUUCUCUGAAUUGGAUCCAUCAUUUGACUUUGAUGUAUCCCAUGAGAUCUGAAGAGUAACUAAUAUCUUUAUUUACAUCAUGCAUUGUAAUGAAAUUCCAAGAUAGCAUGAGACACCAAAGGUAGAGAUGAAAUUAUACAAAGAAACGGGAAUUGAAUUCGAAGGCAUUUUUACUAUAAACAAUUCCAAUUAUUGUGUGAUUUUUUAUGGGAGGAUUUCACUUAUAGAAGAAAAAUAUUUCCACCAAUUGUUUGAGAACCAAGUUGGUAAAUUUUUUGGACAAAUGUUUUAUCAAAAUGGAUGAACCAUAAAUGAUCAUGGUUUUAGAAAAAGAAAAUCAAACCAAGCUCGUUGAUAAUCAAAAUAAUUAUAUCUUUGAGAUUAGUAGUUUCAAGAAAAUCUUUCAAGGUGUAGGGACUUUGACUCAAUUAAGUCUUGAAAGGUUAAAACCUUUUAAAUUUUUAUUUUUGAAAAAAAUGGAUUAUUUACAUCUUCAUUAUGAGUCACUUCAGCAGAGUUAAUGUCAAACCAGAACAAACUCAUAAAAUUAUCUUGUUUUCAAUAGUUUUUCUAUAAUGAACUAAAAUUGAAAGGGGAAGAUAUAAAAAAUGAUCUUAUUUAGGUUUUCAUUGUAAAAUUAUUUUUUAAUUGGACAAAUAUGAAGAUUUAUAGUUUCUUGACUUGGAAGGUUUAAUAAGUUAAUUUUUUCAGGGAAGAUUUGGAGGGUAAUUAACACAAGUGGAAGCACAAGCAAAUACACAAUAACAAGUAGGGUAUAAAAGUUGUUACAAGGGACCAUAUAUAUUGUGUUUUGAACUGGUGCUAUUGGCAUACCCAUAAAUCUAUUGGAACAAUAUUUUGGAAAUAAAAUGUCAAAGUUUUUUUUUCUUCUUUAACAUGAAAACUUUCUUUUUUCCAUUUAUUAAUAUUCAUAAACCAGAGAGAAUGUGAUUUUUCAAUUGAAUAUAUAUAAGGUAUGAAUUUCCUAUGCCUUGAGAAUGCACCAGAGUGGUGGCCCGCGCGACACCACGGAUCGGACCAAACAUGUUUUUCAAUAUGAAAAAAAUCUUUAGGAGAUAGUUGGGUUUUUAAAAUAAAAAAAAAAUAGAUAAUAAUGUUAAACCUUGAUUAAUUUUAUAAUAUAAUAAAAAAAUUAAGCAACAAUAACAAAGAAAUAAAAAAUAAUUACAUACAAAACUGGAUUAACACACGAAACUCGUGACCUAACACAUGAGAUCAGGAUAACCCUAUAGGAAUAUGAUACCAGUAAAAAUCCAUUGUUGAAAAAGGACAUGGAAAAAAAAAUCAAAGGCAAUAAAAUAUUGAAGGAUGAAAUUAAGAAAAAAAGUUCAAAUAAAAAUAAAUCAAAAAAAUAAAAAUCAAAUCUAACAUAAAACAAAAUUAACUAAAAUAUUGAGAGAUACAAUUAAAAAAAACAAUUCAAUUAAGAGAAAGAUAUAAAAUAUUGAGGGAUACAAUUGAAAAGAUAAUUUAGUUAAGAGAAUAAUUAAAAAUCAAAAUAAAAAUAAUAGGGAUCAAAUCUAAAAUGUAAACAAACCAAAUGAGAAUUAAAUUGAAAGAAAAUUUUAAAUGCAUGCAUAAUCUAAAAUAAAUGAAAUAACAAUAAAAAAAAAGAAAUCAAAUCUAAAAGAAAAAUAAAUUGAAGUGCUAUAUAAAAUCUUACUUUUUGUUACCACACAAGCUCUCUAGAAAUUGAUCGGCAAUAUCACAAGGAUAAAAACACAAUUAUAAAAGCUAGAGCUUGGCUGUCAAACGAUACCUCAUGUGUUGUCUAAUCAAAACAAAAGUACUAACCCGUGACCGUAUAAAUUGCAUGUGCAACUGUUUUUUUUUUUAAAUAAAUUAAUAUAAUAUAUACCUAAAUACUAAAGUGCAUUUUAUCGAACUUGAUAAUCACAAAAAAACCAAAAACAAGAGACAAAAACAAAACCCCUUGACCAAGGGCAAAGACAAUUCAAAUGCAAGGACACUUCAGUUUUUCACUGUGCAUGUGAAAAGGAAUACUUGAAAGUGACCCUCUCCACUAGUCCAUUACUUUUUAUUUAGAAGGAUAUAAUGGUUAUUUUACCAUGAAAAUAAAAAAAAAAAAUUAAUAUACCCUACUUCCAAAGCCAGCAAAAUCAUUAUCUCACUAUUCCAAUCGACAUUAACAAUGAGUUUGGCUGUACAAUAAUAAACCUAUACUAAAAUGGGAGCUCUUUUAGUCUCUUCUAAUGAAAGACUUAUUUACAGGAGGCUUUUUUAACUUUAAAUCUAAUUAAAUUAUGCUUGAAGUUGAGAAUAUAUCUUGGAUAACGUGAUAUAUACACUUUUUUAAUAAUUGAAGUGGCUGAAUGUUUUGUCAAAUAUUAUUGAAUAAUUAAAUUAGGUGGAUUUUCAUAAAGGAUGACGUCCACAUAUAUAAAAGAUUCUUUUAUAUCCAUGUGUGUGUGUAACUCAGAAGAUUAGGACCAUAAUCUGGAUUUUCAUUAGCGAAUUCAUCCUCAUGAGAACUUGAUAUUUAUACAAGGCUUUUUGGAGUUUUUUCUUGUUCUGACUUUGAGCUUGAUGAUGCAAGGCUUUCUUGAAUUCGACUUUUAGAGGUGAGAAUUGUAAAUUGUCGUUCUUGAGAUGGAGUCGAUGGGGAAUGCUUGCAGCUAUGGAGUUUGAUGAGAUUGUAGCCGAGCAUGCACAACUUGAGAACAAGCUUGAGUUUUUCUGAAUUGGGUCCAUCGUUUGACUUCGAUUUUCCUCAUGAGAUCUAAAGAGUAACCAAUACCUUCAUCUACAUCAUUUAUUAUAAUGAAGUCCCAAGAUAGCAUGGGACACCAAAGGUUGAGAUGAAAUAAAAAGAGGCAUGAAUUGAAUUCAAAGGUAUUUUUGUUGUCAACAAUUCCUAUCUUUAUAUGAAUUUUUAGGGAGAAUCUUACUUAUUGAAGAAAAAUAUUACCACCAAUUGUUUGAGAACUAAGUUGGAAAAUUCUUUGGACAAUGUUUUAUCAAAAUGGAUGAAUGAUGAAUGGUCAUAGUUUUUUAGAAAAAGAAAUUAAACCAAGCUUGUUAAUAAUCAAAAUUACUGAUUGGUAGUUUUGAGAAAAUCUUUCAAGGUGCAGGGGUUUUGAUUCAUGUCUUGAAAGGUUAAAACCUUUUAAAUUUUUAUUUUUAUUUAAAAAAAAAAAAAACAGGAUUGUUUACAUCUUAAUUAUGAGUUAUUUCAACAAAGUUAAUGUCAACCAGAAUAAACUUAUAGAAUUGUCUUGUUUUCAACAUAUUUUCUAAAAUAAAUUGAAAUUGAGAGGGGGGAAUAUAAAGAAUGAUCUUAUUUGGGUCUUCAUUGUAAAAUUAUUUUUUAAUUGGACAAAUAUGAAGAUAAUAGUUUCUUGACUUGAAAGGGUUAAUGCAUUUUUUAGGGAGGAUUUAGAGAGUAAUUAACAUAAGUGGAAGUACAGCAAAAAACCAAUAGCAAGAGAAAGAAAUAAUAGUUGAAAGAGGAUGAGUAAAAGAAUCCUAAUUUAUAGUUUUAUUGAUGAAGAGAAAAAUCCACUAUUUUUUUUUGCCCCUUUAAGAUAUUUAGAAUCUUUAAAAAGUUAAAACCAAACUAAACAAAUUAAAAAAUCCCAAAGAAAAGUAACAAAAUUCCUAAACAAACUAAGAGAAAUAAAAUUAUCAUUCUCAAUAUUUAAUUUCCUGAACUAGAUAGAAAAAAAUAAAAUCACCAUAAAGAAAAUAUUUUUCUAAACUAAAUAGAAAAUAAUAAUAAUAAUAACUAAGAAAUUUUAUUUUCAUAAAAAUCCUGGCAUCAACAAUAAUGUUGUUGAAGGUGCAUUUUAAGAUUAAACAAACAAGGGUGUUUUGAGAGAUUAAAAAUAAUUUAAGUGAGGUGUUUGGACUGAGUGAUGUUGAUGAAAGGAUUCAAAAUUGAUUAUUUGAGACAAAAACUAGCCUCACAAUAGGAGGCCAUACCCUCCUUAAAGUAUCUUGAAUGCUUGAUGUUGUUGCUUGAAUUGGUUUUAAUGGUGUAAGAGUAUUUGAUUCUUUUAACUUCUUGACCGGGAUGCUCAUUUUGAGCCUAGUAAAGACUCUUUGACUUUUAUGAAUUCAAUCUUGUAAAAGUAUCUAAGAUUUGUAAAAAUAUCUAAAACAUAAUUCAGGCAUCUCAUAAACCUUUAAAGCUGGGUUUUAUCCUUGGUUUUUUCUACGGAUUUAUCAAUAAAUUUUAGUGAUCUAGUGAUUAGAGUUAUUGAUUCUUGAUACAUGUUGUAUCCUAAAAAAUAUAUUUUUAAUUAACAUCUUUAAGGUUGAGACAACUAAUCUAUUUUGUUUGAUAAUAUUGAGAAGCUUUUGUAAGUUUUCGAAAUGUUUGGUUAUUAAUUUUAAAAAUAAAAAGUCAUCAUCUAUGUAUAUAAUCAUAAAUUUUAAAUACAGAUUAAAGAUGUCAUUUAUAAUGGUCUGAAGUUUUAAAUGAGUAGUUCAAAAGGCAUUACAUCUCAUUUGUAAUGAAUAAAUGUAACAAUGAAUGUUGUUUAGUAAUGAUUUUAUUAUUAUUAUUAAAUUAGACUUGCUAGAAUCCUGACCUUAUGUCAGAUUUUGAAUAUAUUGAAGCAUUUUAAAGUCUCAUCUCUCUUAUCAUCGUGUAUUGGAUAUCUAAUAUAUUGAAGCACUUUGUUGAGAGGCUUGUAAUUGAUGACAUGUCUUAGUGCACACUAUACCAUUAAACAAUUUUAUUGACAGAUUAAUUUCGUCGGUGUAAGGCAUGACAUCUGUCGGUAAAAUUAUUACCGAUGGUCUCAUCGAUGAAAUUCGUCCGUCGGUAUACUAAUCGCCGGUAAUUUCCUAUUCCGUCGCUAAUGUUGUCGGAAUUAAAAAAAAAAACCAACCACCGCCGGUCUUACAAACGGUGACACGCUGCAAAAACAAAAUUUCCCACGAGAACAUUACCGACGGAAUAUAUCGGUCUACAUUUUUAACGGUAAUCAUCAACGGAAUAUCCAUCGGUGAUGGUGGCAUGACGGUAAAUAUUUUAGAACUCUGUAAAAUACCAACAGAAAUAUUCCGUCGGUAAUAGUAAUGGUAAACACUGACGAAAUAUGUCCAUCGGUGAUUAUGGCAUGGGUGGUAAUUGUUUGGCAACUCUCGGUAAAAUACCGACGGCCAGGAUCCGUCGGGAAAGUCGUCGGCAUGUAUUUAUAAUAUAUAUAAAAAAUAAUUUAUUAAUAGUAAAAAAGCUUAAUAAACAAAUAAAAUUGUAUUAAACAUUAAAAAUAUAAAAAUAAUGUUAAAUAUUAUUCAUCCAAAUAUUCAUUACAAAUUUAAUGUGUUUAAAAAACAAAAUUAAACUAGAAUAGCGGUAGAGCUAGAGGAGGAGGAGGAGGAGGAGGAGGAGGAGGAGGAGGAGGAGGAGGAGUUGGUUGUUCCCGGGACCGUACGACCAAAAAGGAGCUGCACAUGUAUCAUCACCCAUCCUUGAUAAUUACUCCAUGACCAUUUGAUGGAGUUGAUCAUAAUUCAUCGAGAGUUGUUCAUAUUGUUGUUUCAAGGCCAUGAACUUCUCAGACUGGGUGCUCGAUGCUGAUGGAGAGCUCCUAACGGUUGAGACACUACGGGUUGAUCGCAAUUUUUCGGUCGUAGUGUUGGAGAGCCUGUGGACUCAAUUUUUUUUGGGACCACUAGACGAUCCCACCUCCAUCCACUAAUCCGAAUCAAAAUCCGGAUAGAUCGAAGGAUCGUCCCCAUAUCUCUCCCUCAACCGUCUAUUAUAGGUCUCCUGAAAUUUUUUAAAAAAUCAUCAUAUUCAAUUCAAGAAAAUAAUAACUUACUAAAUAAAAUGAUUGAACGAACAUACUACGAAGUGCUGAGCACGGUUGUCCACAAACUACUGCACCCCUUUUUGGCGAUCUUGACUCCGCACAUGCAUCUCUACAAACAACUCCAUUGGACGUAGCUUAUAAGGAAAAAAUAGGUUGCAAUUAAGUUAAAUAUAUUUAUAAGCAACGACAAAUUAAUUAAUGAUAUAUCUCAUUAAAAUUAAUCUUACCAUCCGCUUUGCAUGUGUGCUGAACGGGACGGAGCCGUCGGUGUGCAUGGUCACCAAACCAUGAAUUUACCAGUUCCGGUUGUGGGCGCCGAAUUGUGAGCACCAUGAUAACCACUCUAAGGUCACGUGCUCAAUAUAUGUUGUCCAUAUAUCUCUCGAGAUGAAUGGCAGUUUGAAUUCCCGCCAAACCGCUACCUCAUUCCAUCCUUUAAGACCGUUAUCCCUCGCAUGUCUUUUUGAUUUUUUUUAUUGAACCAACCAGUUUAACUCGGUUUUUUUGGUUUGGCUAAGUUUUUUAUUCUGACUUGGCUCAGUUUUUUCGGUUUUAGGCUUAUAAACAUAACCGAACCAAUCAGUUUUUUAAAAUUCUAAUCGGUUUAAUAAGUUUUUUUUACAGUUCGGUUUUUUCGGUUAUUUUUUUUAUGGUUCUCUCGGUUUAAUCAAUUUUUUUAUUUUCUUGCUUACCCUUACAUAUAGGUAGUGAAAGGGAAAUUACGAAUUAUACAGAAUUGAACAAAAAAAUAGAAGGUCAAUUUUUAAAAUAGAAUGCCCACUCCGGCGUGAAAAAUGGAAUAUUAAAGGCAAAUACAUGUUGUUGGCAAAGUUCCAAGCCUGGGGUCCAGUUUCAUGCAAACAUCUAAUGCACGUUAUGAGGCAACAAAUAAAGCAGGAAGAGAAUAGACUAAAAAGAAAUCUAUAAUGUUAAAUCUAUGAUGAAAUUUAUUGGUCUAAGAUGCUAAAAAAUUAACAUGUAUUUAAACUUAUAUAUAUUAUAAUACCUCGAAAAUAUAGAGUUGAUCAAGUUCAGAAUAUGUGGACAUGCUUUUUAUAAAUUCAAAACUAGUAGAGGAAAGACUCAUAUCGUAUAUAGAAAACUUAGAUAUUUUUCAAUUAUACCUAGAAUGCAAUGACAUCAUCAUUCACAAGAUUUUGUGGAUGUUUUAUUAUAUGAUAACAUCAAAAUAUAUUGAAAGAUUAUGUAUAUAUCAUUAUGAAUAGUGGAGAUAUGAUACAAUUAAAUGAGAAUUUUAUAUAACUAGAUAAAAAUAUGAAAUAAAAAGACUAUGUGGAUGAUCUAAUAUAUAUUUUUAUAUACCAUUGAGACAUUCUAGAUCUAAAAAGAGGUCUUGUCGUGUCAAAUUAGACGAACAUCUUAGGACCAUGUCUUUUAUCAAAUUGUUAGAUUUCCCGGAUUAGGUAUCAAAACUGAAUAUUGUUAUUUGGGUUAAUUUUUUUUUUAAUUUUUUCAAGGUUUUUUUUUUUGGAUUUAUUAUUUAAUUUGAUUUAUUAUUUUAAUUUCUUUUGCUUUUUUGUAUUUCUAGUUGUUUUCUAAUAGAUGUAGGGCUUUUUUGAUCUAUUUAUAGGUCUUAUAAACCUUUUAAAAGAUAAACUUAUUAGGUUUAUUUUUAGAUAAAUAAAUCAUAAAUUUGUGUUUCACAUAUAUAAUUUUUUUUGUUCAUUAAAUUUUAUUGUGUUUUAUGUAUUGUUACUAUUCUUAUAGGUCUCUGCUGCAUCAACCAUGCUUUGAGUUGGCUAAUUGUUAUUUUUUAUUUCAUAUUAAGUAUAAACAGGUAGUGAAAGGGAAAUUAAGAAUUAUACAGAAUUGAACAAAAAAAUAAAAGUUCAAUUUUUAAAAUAGUAUGCCCACUCCGGCGUGAAAAAUGGAAUAUUUCACAUCUAAUGCACGUUGUGAGGCAACAAAUAAAGUGGACCAAUUGGAAAUGAAAGAAGUGACCUUUGAACAAAGACUUCCAAGUCGUUGGCAUUAUGCAAUCAAUAAUUCAACAUUAAAAAAUCCCAAGUUGUUGCCUUUGAAAUGUCUAAUGCACGUUAUGAGGCAACAAAUAGAGUGGACCCAUUGGAAAUGCAAGAAGACCUUUGACAGGUCGUCUGUGCUGUGUAGCAGUGACCUCUGAAAGACAUCAAAGACUUCCAAGUCGUUGGCAUUAUGCAAUCAAUAAUUCAUCAUUAAAAAUUUUGGUAACUUUCUGGAAAUGAGACGUGAGAUUUUUCGUCCUUAACAUGUGGACCUUUCUUUAUUGACUUUCAUAAAUUUAGAUAUAACUAGUAAAUUUAAGUUGUUUUAUCUUAUUAAUUUAUACACUCAUUUUAAUUCUGUACCUCCUCGAUUCCUCUGGCAUGCAUCAUCACUCCGUAAUCAUUGUAUAUGGGAACCCCAUUUCCAUCAGCCCAAGAAAUUAUAUCUGCGUAAAGCUCGGCAGUUUGAUUAGCGAUAUAUAUUUGAAAGAUCAUAUCGCCUUCCCGCAAUAUAAUCGGUAUAAACUGACAGAAAUGAAGCCUAAAAAGAUAGGUGAAUGUGGAUUGGACCGGAAACUGCCAAGUCAUAUUGUAUUCCUUAUUUACAGUAGAAUUGGGUCCCAUGGUCCUAGCAGUUCGAUAGAGUACAUCAGGUGCAGCAUAGCGAGUGAGGUUAUUAUACUGAAGUUGAAUAGUGCCAUUAUAUUGAUAAACGCUCGGUCUAGCAUCCGUCAAGUAAUCGUCGUCGUUUAGCCAACUUUGAAUAGUGCCGUUAUUUUGAUGUUGUGGAUGUUUUGUUAUGAAUAUUUGGUGAAGAUAAGAUACAACUAAAUAAGAAUUUUAUACAACUAGAUAAGGAUUGAAACAGAAAAACUAUAUUGAUAAUUUAAUAUAUAUAUUUAUAUACCAAUAAAACAUGUUUAGACCUAAAAAAAAGGUCUUGUCCCUCAAAUUGGAUAAACAUCUUAAAAUUGCAUCUCUUAUCAAAUUAUUAGAUCUCCAGGAAUUAUGCACCAAACCAAAAUAUUGUUGUUUGGGUCAAAUUUAUUUAUUUUUCCUAGUUUUUUUAUUUAUUAUUUAAUUUGGUUCUUUAUUUUAUUUUAUUAUGUUCUUUUGUAUUUCUAGUUGUUUUCUAAUAGAUGUAGGAUUUUUUUUUAAUCUAUUUAUAGGUUUUAUAAACCUCUAAAAAAAUAAACUUCAUUAGUUUUAUUUCCAUAUAAAUAAAUCAUUAAUUUAUAAUUUACAUUGUAAUCUUUUUCGCUCAUUAAAUUUUAUUGUGUUUUUGUAUUGUUACUAUCCAUAUAGGUCUAGGCUGCAUCAACCAUGCUUUGAGUUGUCUAAUUGUUUUUUUUUUUUUUUCAUAUUAAGCAUAAACAAAAAAAUAAAAUAAAAGGUCAAUUUUUAAAAUAGGAUGCCCCAUCCGGAGUGGAAACUGGAAUAUGAAAGGCAAAUACAUGUUGGUGGCAAAGUUCCAAGCCUUUGGGCCCAGUUUCAUGUAAACAUUAGGCAACAAAUAGAGGGGACCAAUUGGAAAUGGAAGAAGACCUUUGACAGGUCGUCUCGUCUGUGCUGUGUAGCAGUGACCUUUGAAAGGCAUCAAACACUUCCAAGUCGUUGGCGUUAUGCAUCAAUAAUUCAACAUUCAAAAAAAAAUCCGCACUUUCCAAGAAAAUUAACUUUCAAGACAUCAUAAUCAGACUUCUGCAUAUUUCCGUGGAAUUUUAUUUUUUAUUUUUUUUAAAAUAUGGAAAUAUAUUGGUAACGUUUUAGAAAUGAGACGCCAGAUAUUUUUCGUCCUUAACAUGUGGACCUUUCUAUAUUGAUUUUCAUAAAUUUAGAUAUAACUAGUAAAUUCACGUUGUUUUAUCUUAUUAAUUUAUACAUUCAUUUAAUUAUUAUUUAAUAUUUGUUUUUCUUAUUUUCUCUACAAUAUCACUUGAUAAGUUGGCAAGGAUAAUGAUGUCCAAUAUAUUUCAGAAAAUAAUACAUGAAAGUCUUACAAUGUUGUUAUCAAUUUACUAUUUUACUAAUACCAUACAUCUACAUGCAAUAAAUAUAUUUUUCAUUUUUUCUUAUUGUGUGGAAUUUUUUUUUUAUAAUACUCAGAAAAAAAUAAUAAUUAAAAGAAUAAGGACCAAACUAGAACAAUUUUAUUUUUGUUUUUAAUGCUUUUUUAACUUAAUUGUUUUCAAUUUUAUCCAUAUAUAUUUUAUUUAAUUUAAUUAUUUAAUCUAGUUUGGUCCUCAUUCUUUUUAUUACUAUUUUUUUUAAAUUUUAUUUCUCAUCAUUUUAUUUCGUUUAAUUUUUGUGUCCAAUUUUGGUACUCAUUCUUUGAUUGCUUUAUAUAUAUACUAAAUAUAUAUAUCAUUUUCUUAAUUUAUUUUAAUUUUCAAUUUAGUCUCUUAUUGUUUUCUUUUAUUUAAUUUUUAUGUCAGAUUUGGUCCUUAUUUUUUAUUGUUAUUUAUUUAUUUCUUAUCUAAUUUUGGAUGAUUAGGGAUUUUGCUUGGUAUUUUUUAGAGUUUGCCUUUUAUGAUUUAAUCCUGAUUUCAUUACUCAAGUCACUAGUUUCGAGGAUUAGCCCGAUUUAAAUUUGAUAUUUUUUAUACCUUUUUUUUAAAAUUGAUUAUUUUUUAAUUUUAUCAUUUAAUUUAGGUUAUUAUGUCUUGAGUUUCAUAAUUUUUUCUACUUUUCUUUUUCUAUAUCAUCCUAUGUCAUGGGUUUGCUGGGUGAACUCAGGGUCAUUCAAGUUUUAAUUUCAUUUAGUCUUGAGUUUCAUGGUUUUUAUUUAAUUCUUUUAUUUUAUCAUUCCACAUUAAAUUAUUGGGUUUUGAGCUUCAUGGUUUUUUCCUCAUUCUUUUAUGUGAGUUUAUCUUGAUCUCAUAUCAUAGGCUUAGAUUUUUUAUUGCGUUUUUAUUUCAUCAUUUGAAAUUACAUUAUUGGGUUUUAAGCUUUGUGAUUUUUUUUAAUUUUUUUUUAUGGGGUUAUCCUGAGUCGCAGGUUUGUCAAGUUAACCCGAGUUGACUUCGAGUUUUUUUUUUAUAAUCCUUUUAUUUUUCUUCGGUCUUUUUUUCUUGGUCCUUUUUAUUUUAAAUAAUUUUUUAUCCCGAUCACAUUUUGCGGGUUGCGAAUUAGUCGAGUGAACCUUGGCUCACUCAAAUUUUUUUACAUUGUUUCUUUUUAAAUUAUUUUUUAUUUCAAUUUAAUUUUUUGAUAUUAGAUUGUUAGGUCAUGAUCUUAGUGAUUUUUUCCACUUUCCUUUAUACGAGGUUGACUCGAGUUACGAGUUAAUCAAGUUAACCAGGGUGGCCUCAUUUAUUUUCUUGAUAUUUUAUUUAUUGAUUUAACUUCAAUCUUUUUUAUUUAAGUCUUUUUUUUAAAAAAAUAUUUUUUUAAUUCUAAUCUCAUAUUGAGGGAAGCGGGUAGUUAAGUGAUUUCGAGUUGACUUGUGUUUUUUUUUGAUGUUUCUAUUUUUAAAUUUUAUUUUCGAGUUUCAUUUUUUAACAUUAGGCUAUUAGGCUUGGAGCAUUAUUUUUUUUUUCGUUUUCCUUUUAUAGAAUUAUAUUAAUUUUUUAUCCUAGAUCAGAGGUUACUCAAAUUAACCUAACUUAACAUAAGUGAUCAAUGCCUUAACAUUUUUUUUUCUGUAACAUGGAUCACCAUACCAGUAAUAUAAAAAAGAGAAAUGGGGACCAAAUUCUUUUAUCUCUCUCUCUCUCUAGAGAGAGAGAGAGAUCAUUGGAGUCUAAAAGUAAAUUUGAUAUCUUCAUGAUGAAUAAAAGUACAAAAUUAGAUUAAUUGAAAUAUUAUUAGUUUAGUUAUAUAAAUAUAAAUAUUACGUAAAGUUUAUGUCAUUUAUCUACACAUAAAGAAAAUCUAAAAUCUUGGUAGAUUAAAAAUCUUUUUUCUCUUGUGAGCAUAAACUCUCUUUUUUUGUUUUUGUUUUAGCUAGAAGUGGUAAAAAAGAGAUAUACAGAGGAUAUGAGAUUGAUCAGCUCUUUUUAAUAUGCAGAGAGAUUCAAACCAUUGACGUAAUCAAGAUUUUACUAAUUAAAGGUUUUGAGCAUUUAGCUAAAUAUAUGAUACAAUAAAAUAAGAAUUUUAUACAACUAGAUAGAGAUUUGAUCUAGACAAACUAUAUAGAUGGCCUAAUAUAUAUUUUUAUUUAUCAAUGAGAUAUGUCUAGGUCUAAAAGAAGGUUAUGUAGUGUCAGAUUAAGUUAACACCUUAAAACUGCAUCUCUUAUGAGACUAUCGGAUUUUCAGAAAACACACCCCUUGCUCUUUGAUCUGGAUCACUUUGGGUGACACUUUCGCGAGUGCUAACAGUGCUCCUUGAAUGCGACUCCGCUCCACUAAACAUGUCAUCGUCAUCAGUGGUCGUGACAUCUUGAUGUGGUGAAAAUGAGCUUUUAUUUUCCAUAUUGAUCCCGUCUACACUGUUGGCAUUUUCCUCAGCAGAUUGUUGAAGCUGCAAUGCAAAUUCAAGGCCCCAAACGACAUCACCCAUUUUAGGGCGUUCAAUUCCUGAAACAUGUAAGCAACUGUUAGCAAUCUCUGCCAACUUAUUUAAAGAGACAGGGGAAACCUCGCCCUUUAAAUGUGGAUCCACGAUCUGAUCAAGGGUUCCUCUUUGGUAACACUUUCUUGCCCAGUCAGCUAAGCUUGCUUGAUCUUUCGGUGAACUUGGAAUCACUGGUGGCCUUGCACAUAGCACCUCAAACAAAACCACACCGAAUGAAUAAACAUCAGAUUUCUCUGUCAGGUGUUGCCUACGGUAGUACUCUGGAUCCACAUAUCCAAUGCUACCUCUAACUACAGUGCUAACAUGGGUUUGGGAUGUACUAGUGGGACCCAAUCUGGACAGCCCAAAAUCUGAAACCUUAGCCACCCAAUUCUCAUCUAACAAUAUGUUUGUUGACUUCACAUCACGGUGAAUGACUGUGUGCUUUGCUCCUGAAUGAAGAUAAUGCAACCCUUUAGCAGCACCGAUGCAUAUUUCUAGCCUUUGCUUCCAUGGAAGAGGAGAGUUCUUUGUUUUGUAUAGAUGUUCUCUAAGAGUGCCUCUUGACAUGUAAUCGUAUACAAGAAUCAUCUCGCCAUGAUCAUCACAGUAUCCAAUCAGCGACACUAGAUGGAGGUGGCGCAGAUUGGAUAACAUCUCAAUCUCUGUCUGGAACUCACGUGUCCCUUGCUUUGAUGAUGAAUCUAGUCGUUUGAUGGCUACUGCACCGUAUUCAAUGUAUCCUUUAUACACAGUACCAAAUCCCCCUGAACCAAUAAUAUUUUGAUCAUCAAAGUGUCCUGUUGCUUCGUUGAUUUCGAAAAAUGUAAACCGUCGGCAAAGAUCAGUAGGGAGUGAUGAAGAGAUUGUAGUCGUGGACCUAGAUGUUUGUGAUAUUAGAGUCCAGGAGGAUUUUUCCUCACUCUUGCUAGGGUCCUUGACUCGCUUCUGCUUGAAAGCAAAGAAAUAAAGAAUAAGAGAGCAAGCAAACACUGCACCUAUGGAACCUCCAACGAUGGCUAUAACCGUAAGUAUUGAUGAUCUUUUGCCCGUUCUUCUGUCUUGUAGACUUGGAUGUUGUUCUGCUGGUGGAGGAGCCACUGUUGGCUCAGGGUUGGAUCCUGCAAGAUUUCCGUCUGUUGUAUUCAGCUUGAAUAUUUCCAAGCCAUUCAAGAUUGCAUCAGCAUAAGUAGGUUUCAGUUCCAUGUUAGGGUGUAGUUGGAGCCACAAGUUCCUGCUUGCUCUGGCUACCUUGAGGGACCAGCACGAUGUAGUCUUUGUAAACUGGAAUGCCGUUGCCACCGCUCAUAUGGAUCACAUCUGCAUCAUGCUCCGCUAUUUGAUUGUUGAUGAAUAUUAAAAAUACCUGUUGAUUUACACUUUUGAACUCCUUUCGAGUCUCACAAAAGUGGAGUCUAAGGAGGUAAUUGAAACCAACAUCAACUGAGAAGAUCCAUGUGAGAUUGUAAUUCAUGUUAAGAAGUGGUUCAGGACCCAUAGAACGCAUAGUACUAUAUACCAUAACAGGUGCGGAGUAAGCUGGCGUUUUGGUUGUGUACUCUAUCUUGACGCCUGAGUGAUAUGGAGUGGUUCCAGCUUUUCCAAAGAGAUACCCUGAAUCUUGAUGCCAUGUCCUGUACAUUCCAGUCUUGUCUCCAGUGCUGCUGAUAUCUUGCCCCCCAACAUUCAGUCGAUAAACUGUCUCAAGCGCAGUUGUGUUACCCAGAUAGAAGGGGGCGGUGCCCACAUAGGUCGGUGGAUUAUCAUCGCCACGAGCAUAGAAGCUGUCUGGCAUGGAAACGAUUUCGAUACCAUUAACGAAGGCAAAAGAUGCUGGAGACGGAUUGAAGGUUAAUUCAAGCUUCUGGUUGUCCCACACGGUGAUGAUGAACUCUUUGGUGAAGGAGUCAACUGGAGGUCUUAUAGCAGAAACUGUAAGAGAGGCACUAAAGUUGUUUAGUAGCUGGUAGGUAUUGGCACUAAGCGAAAAAUAGGAUUUGGAUAUAUCAAGAUUUGAGUAAGAAGAUGGAUAAAAGUAGAGACGCACAAAUUUUGGGCCAGGCAAG
rnacentral:lncRNA from 1 species